rnacentral:lncRNA from 1 species
GCUUCCGAACAACAUGAUACGAAACCUUGCAAUUUUUUUUAUUUUUUUAAUAUUUUGCUUUUAGUUAGGAGCACCGUAGGAGUAACCACAGAAAAUUUGAGCUUAAACAAGUGAAAGACAUGGCCUACGGAAUUUUUUGAAGAUUGUGAAAAAUGUGAAAAAAACAUCAUGAGGUGAAAACUCAAACUUUGGAGAUGAAUUUUCAGGUUCUAAAAUUUUCAAACCCGCCAAUGGAGGGGACAGACAGAUCCAAAAAGAAUUUUGUAUCAAUUUUCAUAUAUGGAACGUUGAAAUCGGAGUUCAUAUGUGAAAGUUAUGGCUAUUUUACGAACGGACUACGAAUUAGAGGACAAAACAGUCCGAAAGUGGGAAAAAUUUGCGGCGGUGGCUAGAAAUUGAUGGAAACGGUGGUGAAAAACACACGAACUGGACUCUAACAAAGACCUCGACUAGGACACAAACUCAACACUGCGGACUCUGAAACUGAAAUAUGCAAAGGCUAUGGCGCGGAAGGGUUGUAGGACAGGAAAAUGAUAUGGUACUGGACUUAUGGGACGAACACAAGAACACUCCAAACUAAGGGUAGAUGUGAACCUAAUGUUAUACCUAAAGCUCUGAUUACCACUUGAUGAGAACAAGGGUGGCCCGAUCUUCUGAAAGGUUCUACUAACUCUCGAUUUGGUGGAGACGAGACACAAAUCGAUCCGGCUUCCGAACAACAUGAUCCGAAACCCUACAUUUUUUUUAUUUUUUUGAUGUUUUUCUUUUAGUUAGGAGCACCAAAGAAGUAACCACAUAAAAUUUGAGCUUAAACAAGUGAAAGACAUGGCCUGUGGAAUUAUCUGAAGAUUGUGAAAAAUGUGAAAAAACUUCACGAGGCGAAAACUCAAACUUUGGAGGUGAAUUUGCAGGUUCUAAAAUUUUCAAACCCACCAAAAGCUAGGACACACAGAUCCAAAAUUUUUUUCUGAUCGAUUUUGAUAUAUGGAACGUUAAAAUCGGAGUUCGUAUGUGAAAGUUAUGACUAUUUUACGAACGGACUCCGAAUUAGAGGAAAAAACGGUCUGAAAGUGGGAAAAAUUUGCGGUGGUGGCUAGAAAUUGAUGGAAACGGUGGGGAAAAGCACACGAACUGGACUCUAAUAAGACCUAACCAGUAACAAGACCUCAACAAGAACACAAACUCAACACUGCAGACUCUGAAACUGAAAUAUGCAAAGGCCAUGGCGCGAAAGGGUUAGGACACGAAAACGAAAUAGCACUGGACUUAUGGUACGAACAGAAUAACACUCAAAACUAAGGGUAGAUGUGAACCUAACGGUAUACCUAAUGCUUAUAUUACCACUUGAUGAGAAGAAGCGUGACCUGAUCUUCCAAAAGGUUCUGGUAUCUAUCGAUUUGGUGCAGACGAGACACAAAUCGAUCCGGCUUCCGAACAACAUGAUACGAAACCCUGCAAUUUUUUUUAUUUUUUUUGAUAUUUUUAUUUUAGUUAGGAGGACCGUAGGAGUAACCACAGAGAAUUUGAGCUUAAACAAGUUUAAGACAUGGCCUGCGGAAUUUUUUGAAGAUUGUGAAAAAUGUGAAAAAAAACUUCACGAGGUGAAAACUCAAACUUUGGAGGUGAAUUUUGAGGUUCAAAAAUUUUCAAACCCGCCAAUGGAGGGGACAGACAAAUCCAAAAAAAAUUUUUGGAUCGAUUUGAUAUAUGGAACGUUGAAAUCAAAGUUCGUAUGCGAAAGUUAUGGCUAUUUUACGAACGGACUACGAAUUAGAGGACAAAACAGUCUGAAAGUGGGAAAAAUUUGCGGUGGUGGCUAAAAAUUGAUGGAAACGGUAGGGAAAAUACACACGAACUGGACUCUAAUAAGACCUAACCAGCAACAAGACCUCAACAAGAACACAAACUCAACACUGCGGACUCUGAAACUAAAAUAUGCAAAGGCUAUGGCGCGAAAGGGUUGUAGGACACGAAAACGAAAAAGCACUGGACUUAUGGUACGAACACAAGAACACUCGAAACUAAGGGUUGAUGUGAACCUAACGAUAUACCUAAUGCUUUUAUUACCACUUGAUGAGAACAAGGGUGACCUGAUCUUCAAAAAGGUUCUGGUAUCUCUCUAUUUGGUGCAGACGAGACACAAAUCGAUCCGACUUCCGAACAACAUGAUACGAAACCUUGCAAUUUUUUUAUUUUUUUAAUAUUUUGCUUUUAGUUAGGAGCACCGUAGGAGUAACCACAGAAAAUUUGAGCUUAAACAAGUGAAAGACAUGGCCUACGGAAUUUUUUGAAGAUUGUGAAAAAUGUGAAAAAAACAUCACGAGGUGAAAACUCAAACUUUGGAGAUGAAUUUUCAGGUUCUAAAAUUUUCAAACCCGCCAAUGGAGGGGACAGACAGAUCCAAAAAGAAUUUUGGAUCAAUUUUCAUAUAUGGAACGUUGAAAUCGGAGUUCAUAUGUGAAAGUUACGGCUAUUUUAUGAACGGACUACGAAUUAGAGGACAAAACAGUCCGAAAGUGGGAAAAAUUUGCGGCGGUGGCUAGAAAUUGAUGGAAACGGUGGCGAAAAACACACGAACUGGACUCUAACAAAGACCUCGACUAGGACACAAACUCAACACUGCGGACUCUGAAACUGAAAUAUGCAAAGGCUAUGGCGCGGAAGGGUUGUAGGACAGGAAAAUGAUAUGGUACUGGACUUAUGGGACGAACACAAGAACACUCCAAACUAAGGGUAGAUGUGAACCUAAUGUUAUACCUAAAGCUCUGAUUACCACUUGAUGAGAACAAGGGUGGCCCGAUCUUCUGAAAGGUUCUACUAACUCUCGAUUUGGUGGAGACGAGACACAAAUCGAUCCGGCUUCCGAACAACAUGAUCCGAAACCCUACAUUUUUUUUAUUUUUUUGAUGUUUUUCUUUUAGUUAGGAGCACCAAAGAAGUAACCACAUAAAAUUUGAGCUUAAACAAGUGAAAGACAUGGCCUGUGGAAUUAUCUGAAGAUUGUGAAAAAUGUGAAAAAACUUCACGAGGCGAAAACUCAAACUUUGGAGGUGAAUUUGCAGGUUCUAAAAUUUUCAAACCCACCAAAAGCUAGGACACACAGAUCCAAAAUUUUUUUCUGAUCGAUUUUGAUAUGUGGAAUGUUAAAAUCGGAGUUCGUAUGUGAAAGUUAUGGCUAUUUUACGAACGGACUCCGAAUUAGAGGACAAAACGGUCUGAAAGUGGGAAAAAUUUGCGGUGGUGGCUAGAAAUUGAUGGAAACGGUGGGGAAAAACACACGAACUGGACUCUAACUAGACCUAACCAGCAACAGGACCUCAACAAGAACACAAACUCAAAACUGCGGACUCUGAAACUGAAAUAUGCAAAGGCUAUGGCGCGAAAGGGUUAGGACACGAAAACGAAAUAGCACUGGACUUAUGGUACGAACAGAAUAACACUCAAAACUAAGGGUAGAUGUGAACCUAACGGUAUACCUAAUGCUUUUAUUACCACUUGAUGAGAACAAGGGUGACCUGAUCUUCCAAAAGGUUCUGGUAUCUAUCGAUUUGGUGCAGACGAGACACAAAUCGAUCCGGCUUCCGAACAUCAUGAUACGAAACCCUGCAAUUUUUUUUAUUUCUUUUGAUAUUUUUAUUUUAGUUAGGAGCACCGUAGGAGUAACCACAGAGAAUUUGAGCUUAAACAAGUUUAAGACAUGGCCUGCGGAAUUUUUUGAAGAUUGUGAAAAAUGUGAAAAAAAACUUCACGAGGUGAAAACUCAAACUUUGGAGGUGAAUUUUGAGGUUCAAAAAUUUUCAAACCCGCCAAUGGAGGGGACAGACAGAUCCAAAAAAAAUUUUUGGAUCGAUUUGAUAUAUGGAACGUUGAAAUCAAAGUUCGUAUGCGAAAGUUAUGGCUAUUUUACGAACGGACUACGAAUUAAAGGACAAAACAGUCUGAAAGUGGGAAAAAUUUGCGGUGGUGGCUAAAAAUUGAUGGAAACGGUAGGGAAAAAACACACGAACUGGACUCUAAUAAGACCUAACCAGCAACAAGACCUCAACAAGAACACAAACUCAACACUGCGGACUCUGAAACUGAAAUAUGCAAAGGCUAUGGCGCGAAAGGGUUGUAGGAUACGAAAACGAAAAAGCACAGGACUUAUGGUACGAACACAAGAACACUCGAAACUAAGGGUUGAUGUGAACCUAACGAUAUACCUAAUGCUUUUAUUACCACUUGAUGAGAACAAGGGUGACCUGAUCUUCAAAAAGGUUCUGGUAUCUCUCUAUUUGGUGCAGACGAGACACAAUUCGAUCCGGCUUCCGAACAACAUGAUACGAAACCUUGCAAUUUUUUUUAUUUUUUUAAUAUUUUGCUUUUAGUUAGGAGCACCGUAGGAGUAACCACAAAAAAUUUGAGCUUAAACAAGUGAAAGACAUGGCCUAUGGAAUUUUUUGAAGAUUGUGAAAAAUGUGAAAAAAACAUCACGAGGUAAAAACUCAAACUUUGGAGAUGAAUUUUCAGGUUCUAAAAUUUUCAAACCCGCCAAUGGAGGGGACAGACAGAUCCAAAAAGAAUUUUGGAUCAAUUUUCAUAUAUGGAACGUUGAAAUCGGAGUUCAUAUGUGAAAGUUAUGGCUAUUUUACGAACAGACUACGAAUUAGAGGACAAAACAGUCCGAAAGUGGGAAAAAUUUGCGGCGGUGGCUAGAAAUUGAUGGAAACGGUGGCGAAAAACACACGAACUGGACUCUAACAAAGACCUCGACUAGGACACAAACUCAACACUGCGGACUCUGAAACUGAAAUAUGCAAAGGCUAUGGCGCGGAAGGGUGGUAGGACAGGAAAAUGAUAUGGUACUGGACUUAUGGGACGAACACAAGAACACUCCAAACUAAGGGUAGAUGUGAACCUAAUGUUAUACCUAAAGCUCUGAUUACCACUUGAUGAGAACAAGGGUGGCCCGAUCUUCUGAAAGGUUCUAGUACCUCUCGAUUUGGUGGAGACGAGACACAAAUCGAUCCGGCUUCCGAACAACAUGAUCCGAAACCCUACAUUUUUUUUUAUUUUUUUGAUGUUUUUCUUUUAGUUAGGAGCACCAAAGAAGUAACCACAUAAAAUUUGAGCUUAAACAAGUGAAAAACAUGGCCUGUGGAAUUAUCUGAAGAUUGUGAAAAAUGUGAAAAAACUUCACGAGGUGAAAACUCAAACUUUGGAGGUGAAUUUGCAGGUUCUAAAAUUUUCAAACCCACCAAAAGCUAGGACACACACAUCCAAAAUUUUUUUCUGAUCGAUUUUGAUAUAUGCAACGUUAAAAUCGGAGUUCGUAUGUGAAAGUUAUGGCUAUUUUACGAACGGACUCCGAAUUAGAGGACAAAACGGUCUGAAAGUGGGAAAAAUUUGCGGUGGUGGCUAGAAAUUGAUGGAAACGGUGGGGAAAAACACACGAACUGGACUCUAACUAGACCUAACCAGCAACAGGACCUCAACAAGAACACAAACUCAACACUGCGGACUCUGAAACUGAAAUAUGCAAAGGCUUUGGCGUGAAAGGGUUGUAGGACACGAAAAUGAUAUAGCACUGGACUUAUGGUACAAACACAAGAACACUCGAAACUAAGGGUGGAUGUGAACCUAACGGUAUACCUAAAACUUUGAUUACCACUUGAUGAGAACAUGAGUGACCUGAUCUUUCAAAAGGUUCUGGUAACUCUAGAUUUGGUGGAGACGAGAAACAAAUCGAUCCGGCUUCCGAACAACAUCAUAUGAAACCGUGCAAUUUUUUUAUUUUUUUGAUAUUUUUCUUUUAGUUAUGAGCACCAAAGGAGUAACCACAGAAAAUUUGAGCUUAAACAAGUGAAAGACAUGGCCUGUGGAAUUUUUUGAAGAUUGUGAAAAAUGUGAAAAAAACUUCACGAGGUGAAAACUCAAACUUUGGAGGUGAAUUUUGAGGUUCUAAAAUUUUCAAACCCAACAAUGGAGGGGACAGACAGAUCCAAAAAAAAUUUCGGAUCGAUUUUGAUAUAUGGAACGUUGAAAUCGGAGUUCGUAUGCGAAAGUUAUGGCUAUUUUACGUACGGACUACGAAUUAGAGGACAAAACCGUCCGAAAGUGGGAGAAAUUUGCGGUGGUGGCUAGAAAUUGAUGGAAACGGUAGGGGAAAACACACGAACUGGACUGUAAUAAGACCUAACCAGCAACAAGACCUCGACCAGGACAAACUCAACAAUGCGGACUCUGAAACUAAAAUAUGCAGAGGCUAUGGCGUGGAAGGGUUGUAGGACAGGAAAACGAUAUGUUACUGGACUUAUGGGACGAACACAGGAACACUCGAAACUAAGGGUAGAUGUGAAACUAAUGGUAUACCUAAAGCUUUGAUUACCACUUGAUGAGAAAAAGGGUGGCCCGAUCUUUCGAAAGGUUCUGGUAACUCUCGAUUUGGUGGAGACGAGACACAAAUCGAUCCGGCUUCCGAACAACACGAUCUGAAACCCUACAGUUCUUUUUUAUUUUUUUAAUAUUUUUCUUUUAGUUAGGAGCACCGAAAGAGUAACCACAUAAAAUUUGAGUUCAGACAAGUGAAAGACACGGCCUGCGGAAUUUUCUGAAGAUUGUGAAAAAUGUGAAAAAAACAUCACGAGGUGAAAACGCAAACUUGGGAGGUGAAUUUGGAGGUCCUAAAAUUUUCAAACUUGCCAAAGGCAGGGACAUACAGAUCUGAAUUUUUUUUCUGAUCGAUUUUGAUAUAUGGAACGUUGAAAUCGGAGUUCGUAUGGGAAAGUUAUGGCUAUUUUACGAACGGACUCCGAAUUAGAGGACAAAAUGGUCCAAAAGUGGGAAAAAUUUGCGGUGGUGGCUAGAAAUUGAUGGAAACGGUGGGGAAAAACACACGAACUAGACUCUAACAAGACCUAACAAGCAACAAGACCUCAACCAAGACACAAACUCAACACUGCGGACUCUGAAACUGAAAUAUGCAAAGGCUAUGGCGCGUAAGGGUUGUAGGACAUGAAAACGAUAUGGCCCUGGACGUUUGGGACGAACACAAGAACACUCGAAACUAAGGGUAGAUGUGAACCUAACAGUAUACCUAAAGCUUUGAUUACCACUUGAUGAGAACAAGGGUGACCUCAUCUUCCAAAAGGUUUGUAACUCUCGAUUUGGUGCAGACGAGACACAAAUCGAUCCGGAUUCCGAACAACACGAUCCAAAACCCUACAAUUUUUUUUAUUUUUUCGAUAUUCUUCUUUUAGUUAGGAGUAACCACAGAAAAUUUGAGCUUAAACAAGUGAAAGACAUGGCCUGUGGAAUUUUCUGAAGAUUGUGAAAAAUGUGAAAAAAACUUCACGAGGUGAAAACUCAAAGUUCGGAGGAGAAUUUUAAGGUUCUAAAAUUUUCAAACCUCCCUACAAUGGGGACAUGCAGAUCCGAAAUUUUUUUCUGAUCGAUUUUGAUAUAUGGAACAUUGAAAUCGGAGUUCGUAUGCGAAAGUUAUGGCUAUUUUACAAACGAACUCUGAAUUAUAGGACAAAACGGUCCGAAAGUGGAAAAAAUUUGCGGCGGUGGCUAGAAAUUGAUGGAAACAAAGGGGAAAAGACACAAACUGGACUCUAACAAGACCUAUCCAGCAACAAGACCUCGACCAGGACAAACUCAACACUGCAGACUCUAAAACUGAAAUAUGCAGAGGCUAUGGCGCGGAAGGGUUGUAGGACUGGAAAACGAUAUGUUAUUGGACUUAUGGGACGAACACAGGAACACUCGAAACAAAGGGUAGAUGUGAACCUAAUGGUAUACCUAAUGCUUUGAUUACCACUUGAUGAGAACAAGGGUGGCCUGAUCUUCCGAAAGGUUCUGGUAACUCUCGAUUUGGUGGAGACGAGACACAAAUCGAUCCGGCUUCCGAACAACACGAUCCGAAACCUUGCAAUUGUUUUUUAUUUUUUUGAUAUUUUUAUUUUAGUUAGGAGCACCAAAAGAGUAACCACAUAAAAUUUGAGUUUAAACAAGUGAAAAACAUGGCCUGUGGAAUUAUCUGAAGAUUGUGAAAAAUGUGAAAAAACUUCACGAGGUGAAAACUCAAACUUUGGAGGUGAAUUUGCAGGUUCUAAAAUUUUCAAACCCACCAAAAGCUAGGACACACAGAUCCAAAAAUUUUUUCUGAUCGAUUUUGAUAUAUGGAACGUUGAAAUAGGAGUUCGUAUGGGAAAGUUAUGGCUAUUUUACGAACGGACUCCGAAUUAGAGGACAAAACGGUCCAAAAGUGGGAAAAAUUUGCGGUGGUGGCUAGAAAUUGAUGGAAACGGUGGGGAAAAACACACGAACUGGACUCUAACUAGACCUAACCAGCAACAGGACCUCAACAAGAACACAAACUCAACACUGCGGACUCUGAAACUGAAAUAUGCAAAGGCUUUGGCGCGAAAGGGUUGUAGGACACGAAAAUGAUAUAGCACUGGACUUAUGGUACAAACACAAGAACACUCGAAACUAAGGGUGGAUGUGAACCUAACUGUAUACCUAAAACUUUGAUUACCACUUGAUGAGAACAAGAGUGACCUGAUCUUCCAAAAGGUUCUGGUAACUCUAGAUUUGGUGGAGACGAGAAACAAAUCGAUCCGGCUUCCGAACAACAUCAUAUGAAACCGUGCAAUUUUUUUAUUUUUUUGAUAUUUUUCUUUUAGUUACGAGCACCAAAGGAGUAACCACAGAAAAUUUGAGCUUAAACAAGUGAAAGACGUGGCCUGUGGAAUUUUUUGAAGAUUGUGAAAAAUGUGAAAAAAACUUCACGAGGUGAAAACUCAAACUUUGGAGGUGAAUUUUGAGGUUCUAAAAUUUUCAAACCCAACAAUGGAGGGGACAGACAGAUCCAAAAAAAAAUUUCGGAUCGAUUUUGAUAUAUGGAACGUUGAAAUCGGAGUUCGUAUGCGAAAGUUAUGGCUAUUUUACGUACGGACUACGAAUUAGAGGACAAAACCGUCCGAAAGUGGGAAAAAUUUGCGGUGGUGGCUAGAAAUUGAUGGAAACGGUAGGGAAAAACACACGAACAGGACUGUAAUAAGACCUAACCAGCAACAAGACCUCGACCAGGACAAACUCAACAAUGCGGACUCUGAAACUGAAAUAUGCAAAGGCUAUGGCGCGGAAGGGUUGUAGGACAUGAAAACGAUAUGGCCCUGGACGUUUGGGACGAACACAUGGAAUAACACUAGGAGUGUUACAUCAUCGGCAGUAAUCUAGUGCUGAGGAUCCACCGAUGUGCUUUUUUCAGCUGCCUCUGAAGUCAAUACUUUGGUCUUUCCCUUAGCAUCCAACAUAUUUGUAGGGAAAUGAUGUUGGUCGAUCUUCAUCGGCUUUUGAGCUUUGGAGUUAUCGAACCUAAUUCUCCCAAACUCUAUAGCCGACUGCAGCUGCUGCCUGAAAACUUUGCAUUCAUUUGUACUAUGAGAUGUUGCAUUAUGCCACUUGCAAUACUUAAUCUUCUUUAAUUCUUCUGCCGAUGGAAUCACAUGGUUAGGUGACAACUGAAUUUGCCCCUCCUGAAGCAAAAAGUCAAAUAUCCUAUCGGCUUUGGUGAUGUAAAAUGCAAACUUUUCUGGAUCUUUAUGCCCAAAAGGGCAAGACAUCGGCUUUUUAUUUUUUACCCAUUCUGCCAAGCUGAUGACUGGCUCUUCAUCAGAAUCUGAGCUCGUUGCCUCAUCGACAAAUGACACCUUUUUGUUCCAUGCCCUCUUGGGUUCAAAAGCUUUGAUAUCUUGGUCAGAAAUCCACUGCACUAAAUGGCUCAGACUUUCAAACUCUUGAGAAGCAUACUUGUCUUUAAUGUGUGGCAACAACCCUUGGAAAGCCAAAUUGGGGAGCUGCCGAUCAUCCAAAACCAGACUAUAACAUUUAUUCUUAACAUCUCGCAACCUUUGCACAAAGCUCUCAACCGAUUCGUCAUUGCUCUGCCUUAGCCUGACUAAAUCGGUAAUCUUCUUCUCAUGCACUCCAAAAAAGAAGUAUUUAUGGAACUAUUUUUCUAGAUCGGCCCAGGUGAUCACUGAGUUUGGAGGUAAUGAAAUAAACCAAGUAAAGGCCGAUCCAGACAAAGAUGAUGAGAAUAAGCGAACCCUUAACUCAUCUCUGUUAGCAGUUUCCCCAUACUGGAUGAUGAACCUAUUAACAUGCUCCAUGGUUGACGUAUCAUCCUGCCCCGAAAACUUGAUGAAAUCCGGCACCUUGUACCGAUUUGGAAGCGGAAUUAAGUCAUAUGCUGGAGGAUAUGGUGUCCGAUAAGAGUAAGUGUUGACUUUGGGUUUUAUCCCAAAUUGGUCUCUCAUCACCUCAGCUAUCUUAUCGGCCCAGUAAGCAUCAGCAUAUUGCCGAUGAGCUUGUUGUGGAUUCGGCAUCUGCUGAUAAGCUUCCACAUGUCUCUGCAGUGCACGAUCCCUACAGAACAUAGGAUUAGCCACCGCCUGUUGACCACCAACUUGGUGACCAAGAUUCAUCGGCUGGUUGAUCAACCCUUGAUUUUGAAAUCCAGGUUGCAUUGGUCCUUAUUGAAAUCCCAUAGCCUGAUGAUUUUGCUGAGGCAUCUAUGGAAAGACAAACUGCCCUGUCCAUCCAUUGUUAACAUUCAUCGGCGUAGGUCCUGCCGAUGGCUGAUAAUUGGGCAUCAUCAUCAAAUUGACAUACCCUAGCUGUGUCAUAAACCUUUGCUGUGUCAGCAUUGGAUCUGCCGAUGCAUUAGGCAUCUAGAACGUUGGCAUUUGAGAAUUCCUAGCAAAAGGUCUUGUAGUAGUAGUUGUAGAAUACUUGGGAUUCUGAGUCAUCGGUGAGCCUGGGGGUGCCGAUGCCAUAGGAGCAUUGCCUGUCAUGUCAGCCACUUGAGAUGUCCCAGAACUUUUUGCCAUAAAUUCUGGGGGCAUACCAUAUCCCCACCAAUUGGGAGGAACAAAUACUGACAUUGCUGAUGCUAAUAAAUCUGUAGCAAGUUUGACUUGUCCCUCUGAUGUUGAUGGAUUAGUCGUCAUCGGUGUAGAUUGCGCAUUAGUCAUCCCUAAUGUGCUUGGAGGAGAAGUAACUUCCGUACCUGCAACCGCUGUAGUAGCCGAUGGAGCCGUAACCGAUGAUGAUCCUGGCUGNNNNNNNNNNNNNNNNNNNNNNNNNNNNNNNNNNNNNNNNNNNNNNNNNNNNNNNNNNNNNNNNNNNNNNNNNNNNNNNNNNNNNNNNNNNNNNNNNNNNGGCUAGAGUAUAGUGAGUCCAAGGAUGCUGCUUAUUGCUUAUAUUGUUAUCUUUUCUUUAAUUCGGGGAAGACAGAAAAAUUUGGAAGUUCUGUCUUUGCGCGAUCGAGGUUAUCAAAAUUGGAAGAAUGCUAAGGAUACUUUUCAUAAGCAUAGUGCUUCGAAGACUCAUACAGAGGCCAGACUGAAGUGUGAUGAUUUUAUGAACCAAAGGACAAGUGUGGGUCAAAGAAUAGUUGAGGUAAGCACGGAGGAAGAAAAACGAUAUGAGAUUCGUCUGACAUCAUCUUUAGAUGUUGCAAGAUUUCUCAUAUAUCAAGGGCAACCUUUUCGUGGAGAUGAUGAGAGUUCUACUUCCCUCAACAAGGGUAUGUUUAGAGAGAUGGUUGAUUGGUAUAAGGAUAAGGUAGAUAUAGUCAAUGAUGCAUAUGAAAAAGGUUCUAAAAAUUUCCAGAUGAUAUCUCUUGAUAUACAAAAGGAUCUUACAAAAGCUUGUCCUGAGGAAGUCACAGCUGUCAGUAUGGAUGAGAUCCUUGGUAGAAAAUUCUCAGUGCUUAUUGAGGAGUCUCGGGAUGUAUCAAUAAAAGAGCAAAUGGCAGUGAUUCUAAGGUUAGUAUUCCACAGUUGCAAUUUUGUUCAUAGAUUUUAUUAUAAUUAUUUCUGCAAUUAUACUAACACAUAAAUAAAUAUACUGUGUAGGUUUGUGAAUGAUAAAGGGAAAGUGGUGGAGAGAUUUCUUGGGCUUCAGCAUGUUCAGAGUUGUACAGCUAUUGCAUUGAAAGAGGCUUUGGUCAGUAUGCUUUCAAGUCACAAUUUGUCUAUCUCUAUGCUUCGUGGGCAAGGGUAUGAUGGAGCCUCUAAUAUGAGAGGUGAAUUUAAUGGGGUCCAAAAACUGAUCCGUGAUGAAAAUCCUUAUGCUUUCUAUGUGCAUUGUUUUGCCCAUCAAUUGCAACUAGUGGUGGUUGCUGUUUCAACUUCUAGUGCAGAUAUUGCAGAUUUCUUUAACUAUGUUCCUUUAAUAGUCACCAAUGUGGGUGCAUCUUGUAUGAGAAAAGAUGCUUUGCUUGCAAAGCAUCAAGAUGUGUUGCUAGAAAAUAUUGAGAAGGGUGAGAUUAUGACUGGAAGAGGUUUAAAUCAAGAAAGUAGCCUAGCUAGGCCAGGAGAUACUAGAUGGGGUUCACAUCUUAAAACUUUGCUUCGCAUUUUGGUGAUUUGGGAGGCUAUCAUAGAUGUGCCUGAGAUAGUGAAGAAAGAUUCUAUUAAACCAAGAAAUAACAGUGGAGCUUUAGGAUUAAUUAAAAAAAUGGAGAGCUUUGGUUUUGUGUUCAUCCUGCAUUUGAUGAUACAAUUGUUGAGCAUGACAGAUAUUUUGUCACAAGCUUUGCAAAAGAAGGAUCAAGACAUAGUUGAAGCAAUGCAUUUGAUCUCAGAUGUGAAAGAUAGCUUGCAGGAUAUGAGGGAAAAUGGAUGGGAGCCAUUACUCAAAAGAGUGAUAACAUUUUAUGAGAAGAAUGAGAUUGAAGUGCCGGAUAUGGAUAAGGAAAUAAAUGUUAGAGGGACAUCUAGAAGAAGGAAGCAAAAGGUAACAAACAUGCAUUACUAUCAUGUUGAACUUUUUCUGGUCGCCAUUGAUGCCCUCUUGACUGAGAUGAAUCACCGGUUUAGUGAAACUAGUUCAGAGUUAUUACUAUGUAUGGCUGCUUUUAACCUAAGGAACUCCUUCUCUAAUUUUGAUGUGGACAAACUUGUGAGGCUUGCUGAAAUUUAUGCCGAUGAUUUUGAUAUUGGUGAACUUGCUGUUUUGCCAAAUCAUCUUACACAGUUUGUCAACCGUGCUAGAAGAACUCCAGACUUUCUUGGAUGCAUUGAGCUUGGAAAAGUUGCUGAAAUUAUGGUCAAGACUAAAAUGCAUACAUCUUAUAAAUUGGUUUAUCGUCUCAUUGAGCUAAUCUUGAUACUGCCGGUGGCAACAGCUUCAGUUGAGAGAAUAUUUUCAGCCUUGAACAUUAUAAAGAUAGAUUUGCGCAAUAAAAUGGGUGAUGAAUGGCUCAAUGAUUUGAUGAUAUGUUAUACUGAGAAGGAGAUAUUUAGAAAGAUUGAUAAUGGAAAGAUCAAAAAGCGGUUUCAAGAGAUGAAAAAGCGACGUAUGUUAUUGCCUAGAAAAGUAGUGGUACGCUCUAUUCUCUUCUAAAUUUAUAAUUUGGAGGUCCAUAUAUGUAUCACUAUUAUGUCUAUUUGCGUAGGUUGCAGCUUCGGAGGAAUAAUGUGGGGCAAGCGUAGUGAUUAGUUUUGCAAUUGGUCCUUUCGGUAUUUAUGAACUUCAUCUUUUUCUUUCAUGACAUAUUUUGUGAAUUUUUGUUGUUGGUCGACGUUUUCAAUAUAAGCUUGAUUUAUGCUAUUAUAUAUACGUCUAUUGUGAAAGGGUCAUAGUAGAGAUAAAUUGUCGUAGACUUGUUCAGCCCGCCCUAAAUUUUUUUUCUAGCUUCGUCGAUGCUCCCACGCCGCAUCCCCUCUCCACAAGGAACCGCAGCCCCCUGAUGUGCUCGUGUCGAGGUCGGCUUUCGGCGACGAUCUCCACGAUGGCCUGCGAGCUUGGCUCCGGAUUCGCGCCUGAGUGACGGCGCGGCUUCGGCCGAUCACCUGCUCCGGUCCUGCCUCACCUGACCGAGCCGUGCUCGUGCGCGCCGACCAGUCGACGGACGACGACCGAGCCGCACUCGUGCGCAGCAGGUGGAGGAGGACUGGGUCGCCGCGGAACCUGGCUUCUAGGACGCCAAGCUCCAAGCUCGUCUCGCCCGCCACCGGAGGACCUCGCCAAGCCGCACGCGACGCGACGCCUGCGACCCCUACACCGGCCUCUGGAACUGGUCCAACCCGGCUUCUACGACGCCCAGCUCCAAGCUCGUCUCGCCCGCCACCGGACGACCUCGCCAAGCCGCACGCGACGCGACGCCUGCGACCCCUACACCGGCCUCUGGAACUAGAACUGGUCCAUGUCCGUUCCUUGCUCCCCUCCCCUUACUGAUUUGUUUUGUUUCAGCACCUGAUUUUGGUAGUGAUUUGUUUCUGAAUCCUGGAUAGAUAGAAUCGUUUCAGCACUUUGUUAUUGAUUUGUUUUGUUUCAGCACCUGAUUUUGGUAGUGUUUUAUUUCUGAAACCUGGAUAGAUAGAAUCGUUUCAGUACCUGCAUUUUUGUAUUGAUCUGAACCUGCAUUUUCUGAUAGAUCUUUUGACAGUGAGGACACUACUACUACUAUUAGGCAGUAGCAAUCACUACAUUAAACCUGAAAUUUCUUAUUGAUCUCAGCCUGUUUCGCUUGGUCAUCUCGAAGUGAUGUGAGCCUUGGAAAUGUACUGAAUUGAAAUCCACUUGCGGCAAUGUCUUUUAUAAAAUCACUGUACUUUUGGUAGUUCUAUAAUGGCUGAGUAGGAGUGUUUUGGCUUUGCAAGUAAUUUUUUUUAGACAAUGGAUUCAACUCUGGGCUGCAAAACAGUAAAGAUUUACGUUUUAGAAUCACCUAGCUGGAUGCUUGCAACAGAUGUAUGUUUCUCCAAAAAGGGUUGGAGGAAAGUAGAUAUCCUUUUCAAUCGAUCAUCAUACUUUUGUCACUAUGCCCUGUCUAUAUUUUCUUUUAUAAACAUUAUUUGCAGGUUUUAGAAGAUUUACGCACUAUUUGGAACUGUGUACUGACAGAAAAGCUGCAUAUCAACCCAAGAGACAGAGGUCUAUAUUCUGCAAUUCUUGUUCUUGGGAAGACAUUUGACAACCUAGGUAUUUCUCCCUUCAUCAUACAUAGAAUUUUACGGUGCAAGGUGGGCUCACCAGUUUAUGAAGUACAUCUUUUUGUCUUGAUGAAAAGCUGAUUUCCUGUAGUUAGCACUUUUGUCUAUUUUGUAGAGAUAUAUAGAUAAUAACCAAUAGUUUGUAUAUGGAUGUAGUUUGUCUUGGAUGGUACUACUAUGCACACUAUGCAGCUAAGAAGUAAGCCUGUUGCUUUAUUAAUUAGUCAAAAUUUUGAUAACCUGUAAUGUGUGCAAUCCCCCUGCUUGGCUUAUCUGGUUGGAAAAUAGAUAGAUGAUGUCCAGUUAGAAGAUGAGGAUUGGUUGGACAAUAGAUGAUAUAUGGACAAUUGGAGAUAUAAUAUGAGGAUUCACAGUUGAAAUGCUGAUUAAAACUAAAUUAGGUCUAACUUGGUGGAAUGGCAUCUUCGGUUUAUUCUCCUGUUUACUCUUUUCAUUGCCUGUCACUAUAUUGAAAACUGAGAGGCCUAAAUGCAAUGUCAAUCCAUAGUUUCUUAGUUAUGCUAAUACAAGAAAAAUGCUACCAUUUGUUCGCCUGCUGCCUUUCAGAUCCAUGGGAAUAGUUUUGCAUAUUCUCUUCUGCUAUAACUGUUAUAUUUGUGCUGUUACCGCUUACCAAUAAGACAUUGAGUGAGAAAAUAAUUAGCUUGCAGGGUUGGAUCGCUGUCCAAAAUCAGGUUUAACAGCCUGAUCCAUACGACUGUGAACCUACGCCCUUUACAAGGUUGGCAGAUUCCUAUCUGAAACUACAAUUUUCGCACUAAUUACUUUAAAGAAUACGCAACUAAAUGUAAACCAAAGUUUUGUGUUCCUCCUUCAUAUCAUAUCAUAUUAGCUGUUACCUUUAGCUUUUGAACUCCAUUUUUCAUACCUCCCAUCAUUUUAUCCUAGGUGGCUAAAUUUGUGCAGUGGUUGCAAAUUAGAUUUGCCAUAAUGGUUGGAAAUAUAUUUCUCAUCCAGCCUAAGUAUGGCACAUGCAUUGAUUUUUAGUAGUGAGCAAUGAGUAGUACUGUUUUCAAUAUCAGGAUCAUUUGAUGCUUUUUAACUAAAAAAAGCGGCAAUCAUCUGUGGUACAAUGUCUAAAUGCAUUCAUUUGUAAGCCAAGUGGAGUUUCUGCUAAUUUGACAGGAGUACCAUGAACCCCAAGUUUAGAAAAUGAGUUGUGUCUACUUUGUUGAACAAAAGCAAUGAGAUUAUUUUUGCUGGGACAGCCUCAGGAAUCCUCGCCUGCAUCUUGGUGGCCCGCAUCUUGGGGACCUGUUCCUUGGUGCCAGUGAGGUCAGUCAAUAAGUCUAUGGUUUUGAUCUGUACUUGCAUUGUUGAGAUUAUGCUCUUGAUGUAUCAAAAUGUGUUUUUCCUCUUAACAAAAAAUGUGUAAGCAAUAAUCGCCUCGUGUCUAAUCAUCCAUAGUUUGUGUGAGUUCAAAAGGAAAUAUGUUGUAGUUUAGUUUAGAGCAACAAUUUAGUUGGCAAGUGACAAUGCAACUUGCAGUAUUCUCUAACUCACUGAACUCAUUUCAGUGGAGUUUUUACUUCACUGAUGAUCCCUGAUUUUUUUGUAAUAAAAAUGUUAUCACUGCAUAUUUUCUGCCUCUUUUAUAACUGUAAAUUGGUUCUAUCGUCUAACCAACAAGACUUAUGUCAGUAUAGAACUUCGAUAUUCAGAGUUCGCCUAUUUUGAAUUGUUGCUACCAAGUGAUUGAUUUGCUGUAAUUUUAUGGUUCGCACCUGCCAGGUUUAGGUGCCAGUUUUACUUCACAUGUUAGUCUUUGGGUUUCUGUAGUUACUUUGCAUUAAGACUUCAUCGCAUAAGAAAUAUACUUGCAUAGCUAUCUUUCAUAUUCUUCAACUAAUGGUUACCGUAUUAUACAAGUGGUUGAAUUGUGGGUACACUCAAUGGAAAAUAGUGCCUCUCAUACACCAUUGGGUGACAAGACUAACACUACUAAUAGAGGUAACCAAAAUAGAAGAGGAAUUAUUAUAUAUUAUUCAGUGUAUUGUUUAUAUUAUAUAAAUGAUAAUCAAUAAUAUAUGGAUGUAACAAUGCAGGAAGCGAUGUUGCACAACACAGGAAAGAAAGGGAUAAGGCUCGAUGGCACGCAAUGUCGCAAGAGAAAAAAGACGAAAAAAAUAAAAAACGUCGUGAAGCAUAUAAAAGAAGAAAGGAGCAACAACUAUGGAUCGAAACUACCGAUGGUUGUAUAUUAUAAAUGUUGGUGAAUAAUAAUAUAAGAUACUAUUGUUGUUUCUCAUAUUCGUUGUAUCAUAAUUGAUAGAUGCUCAGGAUUCAUCAAACAAGGAAAAUGUGGAUCCUAAUAAAACAGAUGAUUGGUUGCAUAGGAAUGAUUCACUCCAUGCAAACAAUAUUGAUGAAAUACUUAUAUCCAAUCCGAUGUCAGGUAAUAAAAUUAUUGUUAGUAUGGAAUCAACACCUACAUUAUUGUGUUGUGUAGCUUUAUAUACAACGAGAGGAUCAUUGAUGGAUAUUUGGUGUGUAUUGUUUGCCUUCCUACUAUCUUAAUUCAAACACGACUAUGUAGGUGAUGCUGGUGAUGUAGUUACUGCUCGCAGCAUAAUUAAUCAGGCAAUGCGAUCACAAUGCAGUGAUGCUUCACGUAAGAGAGAGUUAACAAAUGAGCAAGUCAUGGCUCAUCGUGCAAAAUGUAGGAUGCAACAUGCAAACAAGACACCUGAGCAACGGGAACAAAGGCGCAAGCGACAGAGGCUUUAUAAUCAAGUUCCAUCUCGUAAAGAGGCAAUGAAAGUGGCUAAAAAACGCUCCAGGGAGGUGCGGACACACACUUUAAACAAUGAGUCCAUCGCAAUGGAAAAUCCACUCUUUAAUCCAAUUAUGGAGUGGCCCACUGCAAACUCAUCUAUGCCAGCUCAUGGACCCACAGUAAGCCCUAGCGAUUGGGCUAUCCCAGAAUCCGCUACAACACCUAUUUGCUUCCCACAAGCUCCUGAUGAGACAAAUGAAGAUGAUGAUGGACGCAGUGAUAUAUCGCCUGGUCAUAUGACACAUAGAUAAAAUAUACCAUGUGGGCAAAGGCAUGCAUUGUUAACCCGCCGUAACAAUGUGUUUGAGCGCCUCAUCGGUCAGAACACGGGAAAAUCUAAUAAUGAGGGUGAAGACAACGUGGAAGAAAAUACGCCAUUACCUCAGUCAACCGUGACCAACAACGGUAAAUAAUGAGGCCUUCGUAUCCAUGUUCAUUCACAUGAAACAAACUUUAUUCCUACCUUAACUAUGUCCGUUAUGUGAUUGACAGGAAGCGCUAGAUCAAACAAUCAAAAUGCAUCAGCUACACCUGGACAACCAUUAUUUGAUGAUACAAGUAAUUUGCACUACUUUGAACAUUGUGUACAAUAUUUGUGUUCCUUUAAUGUUAUCUGAGUUGUAAUAUCUCAUGACAUUGUGAUAAUCUCAGAUGAUGAUGAGGGUGAUAUAUUUGAAGAUGAUGAGUAAGAGGAUGAGGGAUGCUUGUUUGCUGGGCAAGGUAUUUGUACCAAAUACCUAUUACCUUUUUAAUUAUCCGCUCUUUUAUCUAACCUUGAUUUUUUUUGUUCAAAUCAUUUCAACAGAAGAAUCAGAUGAUGAUGUCCAAAGUGAUACUACUGAGGAAGACACGACUUCUAACUUUGAAGGACCUGACCCGUAUGAAGUGGUGUAUAGUAACAUGCCUAGGGAGACACACAUGCUAAAACCUGUACCAGAUUGCAAACAUUGUGGAGCAAAGAGAUUUCCAAAAGAACCUCCUAGGUUUUGUUGUAGCAGCGGAAAGGUUGAGCUGCAUGCGCCUGUCGUACCAAACCAGCUCAUGAGGCUUUGGACAAGCUCUGACGCGGAUGCUAGGCACUUUUGUAACAAUAUCAGGUUUUUCAAUGGUCACUUCUCUUUCACUUCCCUAUAUUGUCGCCUCGACAGUGCUACUGCUAACAUUAGAAAUAGUGGCAUAUAUACUUUUCGUGCACAUGGCAUGAUCUAUCACAACAUAAGGUCAUUUGGCAGAGAAGAUGGUAAGGAGCCUAGGCAUCUUGAGCUUUACUUCUAUGAUGAUGAUCCGAGCCUUGAGUACCGGUACCGAAGGUGUCGUGAAGAGCAGUAUCAAAAAGAUAAAGAGGUUAUAAACAGACUCGUGGCCAUCCUUCGUGACAACCCAUAUUCACAACAUUUGAGGAGUCUGGGGAACACUGAACACCUCGAGGACUAUCGUCUUACACUUAACCUUGAUCAGCGAUUGGACCAAAGGACAUACAAUGUCCCGAUGGCUUCGGAGGUGGCUGCUGUUUGGAUCGAGGGUAGUGAACUCCUUGGUCAAUUUCAGAAUAGUGUUGUCCUGCAUGGGAAAGAUAGGAGCAGGCAUGGCAUCCGAUCGUACCAUGGAUGCUAUGAUGCUCUCUCAUACCCACUCUUUUUCCCUAGAGGUGAGCUUGGAUGGCACAUGGAUAUCCCAAAAAAAGGUGUUACUAUAGAGGAUGUCAACACGGCUCAUGCCCUGCGUAAGGCUCGUACUGGUAUUGAAGAAGAAGAAGAAACAGGUUUGUAUAUCUUCUUGUACUUUUCAUGCAAAUCAAAUCAUUAUCACAUGAACACCUCUAAUACCAUAAUUUUUUCAGACUCCCUAGGAAAUUUAUGUGUUUCGGUGCAUGACUACUACUGCUACAAGUUCUAGAUACGGCCAGGAAUAUUUAAUCCCAUACUUUAUGGCAAGCGUCUUUUCCAACAAUUUGCAGUGGACACGUACAUCAAAAUCGAGAGUUCUCGAUUGGAUUACAUACGCAAUCAUCAAACUGAGAUUAGAGCAGAUCUCUACCAAGGAUUGGUUGAUACCCUACAUGCUGGUGAGGGUAGAUCAGAAGCUGUUGGAAAGCAAACAGUGAUGCCUUCAUCGUUUAUCGGAGGCCCGAGGGACAUGAGGUGUAGAUACAUGGAUGCCAUGGCACUGGUGCGAAGAUUUGGAAAACCAGAUAUAUUCCUGACUAUGACAUGUAAUCCAAAGUGGAAUGAGAUCACACGUGAGUUGUACCCUGGACAAACACCACAGGAUUGUCCGGACAUUAUUGAUCGAGUUUUUAGGGCAAAACUAGAAGAGCUUAAGCACAUGUUGUUAAAAAAGGAUAUCCUUGGAAAGGUUCGUGCACACAUGUAUGUUGUGGAGUUCCAGAAGAGGGGUCUUCCGUAUGCACAUUUUUUGCUAAUCAUGGACAGACGCUACAAGAUCACGUGCCCAGAGAAGUAUGACCUUCUCAUCUCUGCCGAACUCCCAAACAAGAAGAAGUAUCCAGAUUUGUAUAAAAUGGUUACAAAGCAUAUGAUGCAUGCACCUUGUGGAAUACUUAAUCGCAAUUGUCCGUGCACAAAAGGCCGUGAAUCAUGCAAGAACCAUUACCCACGACCUUUCUGUGAUGCCACAUUACAGGGCAAGGAUUCAUACCCAUUUUAUAGAUGACGAGACAAUGGCUGAAAAGAAAAAGUUCGCGGAUACGAGCUUGACAAUAGAUGGGUUGUGCCUUAUAACCCAUACCUCCUACGUUUGUUCAAUUGCCGCAUCAAUGUUGAGGCGUGUGGGAGCAUCAAGGCUGUGAAGUAUUUAUUUAAGUACAUUUACGAGGGUCAUGACCACACGUUUGUGGCUGUAAGAGAGGCUGACAAGGAGGACAAUGAAGGAAAUAUCGAUGAGAUCAAACAGUACAGGGAUGCUAGAUGGAUAACUCCACCAGAAGCCUUGUGGAGGAUAUGUGGUUUUGAUAUAAGUGAUAGGUCCCCUUCGGUGUUGUCCUUGCAGCUCCAUCUUCCUAACAUGCACAUGGUGUCAUUUUAUCAGCGUGAGGGUGUUCGAGAUGUGCUUAAUCGUCCAGGUGUUGAAAGGUCGAUGCUCACAGCCUACUUUGAGAAGAACAACACAUCUGAGCAUGCUCGAGGUAUAUUGUAUUGAGACUUUCCUUAAUACUAUAAGUGGGACUCACAGGGAAAACAAUGGAUUAGGAGGGCACAAAAGAAUCAUUUAAGACAGAUUGGAAGAGUUGUAUGUGCUAAUCCGGCUGAAGGGGAGCGUUAUUAUCUUAGGGUGCUUCUAAACCACGUGGCUGGUGCUACCUCAUUCACUGAUCUAAGGAUAGUGUCUGGUGAACUACUACCGACUUUCCGUGAAGCUGCAGAAAGAAGGGGCCUCAUUGAAGCGGACAACACGCUGCAUGAGGGCCUUGCUGAAGCUACUCUGUGGAUGAUGCCAUGUGCACUACGAAGGCUCUUUGCAACAAUCUUGGUUUUCUAUGAGCCAAGUGAUGUAUUAGAACUCUGGGAAAAGCAUAAGGAGGCAAUGUCAGAGGACUAGAGGCGCAAUAACCAAUCCAGCUUUGCAGUGGAGCAGAUGGUCCUCAUAGAUAUUCGGAAGUUGUUACAAUCAAUGCAGAAGGACAUAAAGAUGUACCCACUUCCUGAUAUCGAUGACACAUAUGAUCCAUCUGGCGAUAUUCCUAGGGAGAUUUUUGAGGAGGCCAGCGUUGAGGCAAGCAUUGAUAACAUGGCACUAUCAAAGACCCUUAACGAGGAGCAGCAGGCAGCCUAUAAUGAGCUUAUGUUUGCUAUUGAUAGCGAUGAUGGGGGUUUGUUCUUUGUGGAUGCACCUGGUGGCACCGGAAAGACUUAUCUAUAUAGGGCUCUGCUUGCUACUAUACGUAGUCAGAACAAGAUUGCCGUGGCAACAGCAACAUCUAGUGUUGCUACAUCAAUAAUGCCCGGUGGCAGAACCGCCCACUCAUGCUUCGAGAUUCCCCUCACCCUUGAUGAUGGGGCAUUUUGCACCUUCACAAAACAGAGUGGUACUGCUAAGCUGCUUCGGACUGCAUCCCUUAUUAUUUGGGAUGAAGUGACGAUGAUGAAGCGGCAAGGUGUCGAGGAGCUAGACAACAGUCUUCGUGAUAUCAUGGACCGUCCUAACCUGCCAUUUAGGGGGAAGACUAUGGUGUUUGGUGGAUAUUUCAGGCAAGUUCUUCCAGUUGUUCGAAGAGGGUCUAGGACUCAAAUAGUUGGUGCAUCACUACGGAUGUCAUACCUUUGGAAUUCCAUGCGACAUCUCAAAUUGGUGCGAAACAUGAGGGCAAAGAACGAUCCAUGGUUUGCAGAAUACUUGCUACGCAUUGGGGGGCUCUGAGGAGGCUAAUGGUGAUGGUGAAAUUCGUCUUCCUGAUGAAAUAUGCAUACCACAGACUGGGAAAGACAGUGAUCUUGAUACGUUAAUUGACUGCAUAUUUCCUGCCCUCAAUGUCAAUAUGUCAAACAAUAGCUAUAUCACCACACGAGCAAUAUUAUCUGCACGGAACGACUCGGUUGAUAUGAUUAACAUGAAAAUGAUAAGUCGUUUCCAAGGGAAUGAGAUGGUGUACCAUAGCUUUGACAGUGCAGUGGAUGAUCCACAUAACUACUACCCAUCUGAAUUCCUUAACACUUUGACCCCCAAUGGUCUCCCUCCACAUGUGUUAAAGCUCAAGAUUGGAUGCCCGGUCAUAUUGCUAAGGAACAUCGACCCUGCGGGUGGACUUUGUAAUGGAACCAUGUUGGUGGUUCGAGGGUUCCAAGGAAAUAUUAUCGAUGCAGAAAUUAUGGUUGGAGAUCAUGUCGGAAAGCGAAUCUUCCUUCCACGAAUCCCAUUAUGGCCCUCGGAUGACGAGAUUUUCCCGUUUCAGUUCAAGAGGAAGCAGUUUCCUAUUAGACUCAGUUUUUCCAUGACGAUUAACAAAGCACAGGGGCAGACUCUUCCCAAUGUUGGUGUGUAUUUGCCUGAACCAGUGUUCUCUCAUGGUCAGCUGUAUGUUGCACUAUCUAGAGCCACUGCCAGAUCAAAUAUUAGGAUCCUUGCAGUCCCGCCUAGAGAUAAGAGUGAUAAUGGUAAUAAAAAAAAUACAAGAAUAAAUGGUACAUACACAAAAAAUAUUGUCUAUAAAGAGGUCCUCACUCUAUAAAAAAGGUAGUCUUCUGUUUUGGUCUACUAUUAUAUUCUUACAUUAUGCCCUUAAUUAGUGACAUUUUUCGUGUCAUAUCAAACUGAAUAAUAUAAGAACUCCGAAUGAAUUUAUGCCCUUCUGCAUUGAUUCGUUCAUAUGUUAUUGACUGGAUGUACAAAAUGUUAUAUUAUUUCUAAUAUGUUUUUUCUUGGAUUAAUAUUUAAAUUUUUACGUUAAAAGGUAUUACUGACUAAGCGAAUGUUGUUGGUUGCUAUAUUGGAAGAGAAAUAGAGAGCAAUUCAAUGUCCACACCCUCCAUCUGAGGUCCCAGGUGACUAGGCCGCUGCCGACUGGUGCCCAGAUCUACAGUCCACUGAGUGCCGCACACUGCCUUUGGUUUGAAUAAUUUUAUUGGGUGAAAAAUAAUUAUUUAAAUCCGAUUUUAGGUUUGAUUUGGUUCUCGUUCUGUUUAUAAUAUUUACACUCAAGAGUUUAGUUCAAAAAAAUUAUAAGUUCUAUAAAUAUUUUAAACAGAAUUUCAAAAUUUUAUUACCUUCAAAAAGCAAUUGAUUUUGAUUUUCAAAUGAAUUUACAAAAGAAAAGGAAAAUAAAAGGGAAACCUCCCUCCCCUCUCUCUGGCCCAGUCCGGCCCAGUAAAAUCUUGGGUCAACUAUCAGUAGGGGGAGCACAACGCCUCCCUAUCCCUGAGUCACAGACAGUCGGAGCCCGCCUGUCAGCCUUUAUCCUCUUGCUGACAAGUUGACCCCACUUGUCAGGGUCAUCCCUUUCCUCUGUCCAUAUCCGUUCGUGGCCGGGUCUCACUGAGCCAACCGAAGGACCGGUUCUAAAGGGGACGAAGCUUGGCCGCCGCCGCUCCGUGAUCCUCUCUUGCCUCCCCGGUCUUGCGCGCACCGAGUCAGCCAUUUCUGCUCCCUCCUCUGUCAUUUAAAGCGAGCUCUCUUCCACCUGCAGCACCAUCGUCCACGUCCUCCUUCUCAGUGCCGAGCUAAAGACGAGAACACCGCCAUAAGUUCCGCGGUGAGCUCCUUCUCUUUCUGCACUAAGCUUUUACGCCCUCCGUGGUCUUUAGAACGAGCCGAACUUGCUCUGGCAAUGCUCAUCCCACAGGUUAUGACGCCAUUGUCGCGGUUUCUCCCUGCGGCGGAGAAGGAGGCGGCGGAGGGCAGUGUAGUCGGAGUCGGGGCGGGACGAGGAGGAGGUCUGUGGAUGAUGGUGCUGCAGCUGAGGAAGACAGGGUCCGUCGGCAUGGAAGGGGCGGUGGGGCACUCCGGGGAGGAGGAGGAGGAGGCCGCGGCCGAGUCGGCGGCAGCCAUCUCCACCGUCUCGCAGUCCGCAUGGCCGGUCGUUCGCGCGCGCCCCGGUGAGAAAUGAGGGACGAGGCCAGGCGGGGACUUGGAUGUCGGGGAAUCGGGCACUUCGGGCGGUCGUACGUGCGUGUGCUGGCAAGAAGUGGCUUGUUUCGUGUCCGUGACCUGUAGUGUCUGAACUUCGAUGUGGGCAAAUUCAGUUUUGAAUUGUUUUAGAUGCAAAUACAAUUUAUAUGUUUCAAAUAUGUUUUGAUACUAACUAAUUUAUUUAUAGUAUUACACAUUAUGGCUAUAUACGCUGCAUCUUUUGUAUCAUUGGAAGAUGCCUUGAGCUCUCCAAACAACACACAAGUUGACUUAAUAGCAGUCGUGGCUCAUGUCGGGUUGUGGGACUGCCAGACAUUAUUUCCUAACUCGUUUAGGGAGGUUGCACUCAAAGAUAAUAGGUAAAUGUUUAUUUGAAGAAAAAUAAUCUUUUUAAUGUCCUUGUGUUUUGUUUAAUCAUACUAAUAACUAUUACUAUUUUUUUAUGCAGCCGAAUUGGAUUUCUUCGUGUGUUCGCAUAUGAUGCUGAAGAAAACUACCACAUGUUUUUUUCAGCCGGUACUGAGAAUUAUUUUCUCAUUCCCACUAAUGUGGUUGUCGACUCAUAUGCACGUAAGUUUAUAUGAACAUAAUUAAAUUUUGGUAUUACCAACAACACAAAUAAUAAGCCUCAAUUCAUAUCAAUACAUCAUAGGUUGUCUGACAAUGACCGCUCAUAGUUCCAUGAUUUUUGUGGGUCCAAGGGAGUAUUGUCCUAUUUUUGCAUCUCUAGAAGGUAACUUUCUCAUCCUAAUUAUAAUAAUAUUAUAUAGAAUUAUAAACAUCCUGUUAGAGACAUCUAAUAUUUAUUUUGCAGCUAUCAGAGACGAAAUGCGAAAUAUCGCUUGUUACAAUGAUCAAAUUAAAAUUGCACUCAAUGCUCGAGCUAAUGAGAUCAAAAGGCUCGAAUACAAUGAAUGUACAGCUAUGGCAAACAAUCAAGGUGUCAUUAGUUACGUUAAUGGUUGCAACAUUUAAGAGGUAGAUGAAGAAGUAUUUGUGAUUAAAUAUUAGUCUUUUGUUGUAUCAAGAUUCUUCAAAGCAUCUUGUUUUACAAUAAAUGAAUGUACCUACACUCUACAAUUCAUCUCUUGUAACGUAACGAUUAAAUCUAUCAAGGCUCAUUACAAUCAAUGCUCAAUAGAUUAUUGAUCAUAAAUCUUGGUCAAAUUGCAAAAAGGUAUUGAUCGUAAAUGAUUAUUGCCCAAUAUUUUUGGUCAAAUUGCGAAGAAAGAGCAAAAUUUGAUAACAAUAGUUUAAUCGUAAAUGAUUAUUGCCCAAUAUUUUCAGAGACACAAUUGAUGUUUCUAUAAAUUAAGAAGAUAACAUAAUUCACAAAAAAAAAACAUGCAUGACCUGGUCAUGCCACAACAUAACUAGCGAGUCAGCCACGGUCUCUACCACCCGAAACUCACGAAAGCAUGACUGCCGUCAACACUGCCAGGCUUCAAUCGGUAGUUUCCAUAUCGAACCUCUAGCUCCCUCCGACUUACAAUUGCCCGAGACGGCGCACCUGGCUGCCGCCUCGACGCCUCUGUGACCCAGCACGCGGUUAUCCUCCAAUUCGGCGCGGAGAGCUCGGUGGCCCUCCCUUCGACGUCGCCUCAACUUGGCACGGGGCUUCAUCUGCACAAAGGCGGACGUCAACUUGCCAGGCCGUCCUGUUCCGUCACAUCGGCCGAAGUCUCCUUCUCCACCGCAGCAACCGUUGUUCGACACGCGCUCGUCGACGACGCUGGAUGCCACGACACCACAUGUAGGCUUGGCUGGACCACCUCCACCUCCAUCACGAUAGAUGCUGAGGUCUCCUUGCCACCGCUGCACACAGAUCUUCGUUGGUCGCUUCAUCAGAGUGUUGUCGGGGACCCAAGAGGUAUGCCCUUGUCAAAAAACGAAAGAGGUAUGCACUUGGCUAACUGAUGCUACAUAUGUGUUGGCGUGUUGGUCUUCUAUGUGGUACAUUUUAAAUUCAGGCUAAUAUAAACUAUGGAUCAUUAGACAUAGAGUUAAUUUGUUGCUUACACUUUUUUAUAUAUCAAGAUCAUGAACUCGACAAUGCAAGUACAAAUCAAACCAUACGCUCAUUGACUGACCUGAAUAUGGAAAAUUUAGAAUACAAGAUGACCAGGAGACACUGAGUCAGUGCAUUUUACCUAAACUUUUUAAGCUCAUUGACUGACUUGAACAUUGUUCAAACCAUAAGCCAAUUGACUGACCUGAACAUGGUUCACUAUAUUUUCUUCCUCACAUAUCUGAAUCAGUGCAUUUUACCUACACUUUUUAAGCUUGAACUUGCAUAUUGUUUAGAACUCUGAACCCCACUGCUUACAACUUUGAAACCCUAUACUCUUAAUUCAACCCUAAAAAAAUGAGAGAGACAUAGAGAGAGUGGAAAGCGAUGCUGGAGAUGGAGUAUCAACCAGUUCUUUUAAAAGACAUGAUACUGAAUCUACAAAGAUCGUGAUGCCAAUCAGUUUUUUGAAACAAUGUGGAGCAGCUAGCAUACUUCUUUUGCACAGCUAUCUUAACUGGUUCGAGUUAAAGUAUAUAUGUAUAUCUAUAGCGCCCAUGAGAAAAUUCCUUACAGGCUACAACGCUGAAAAAUCAAUGUGUAAAAUACAGUAGGGCUAAAGAAUAAGAACAUUUCCUCUUCAGCGUAAAUAGUGUCAUUUUAUCAGCAUUUCCUUCACCUUGAUGUUAUAUGCAUGCACCCAAAAAAGUGCAAAACCAAAGAGAUAGUAGUCUCAUACCUUGAGGUUGACCAUACAGAUAGUGUUAAAUGUAAAGUUACUCACCCUGUAUACGGCGCCAUGCAUAGCUAUGCUGUGCAGGGGGCUUCCAAGAACAACUUUUGCAUGUCCUCCUCCCAUUUCUCCUUCUACAUGGAUAUCAUGUAUGGCUCGGCUUGCAUGCCUAAACAGCAAGUGCCAAAAGUGUGAGCAAAGUGAGAGGUCCCCAACUUACCUGAAAAUGAGACAUGCCUAUUUCUGAGUAAGUAGAACCACCAAGCCUGACAGCAAUAAAUAGAGAAAGUAAUAAAUAUAGAACUUUAGAAAAGAAAAAGGCUACAAUAAUAUAUCAAACAAAUCAGCUCAUUUCUCUUGAAGUUUUGUAAGAUAUUCUAAUUAUUUCCCAAAGCAAAAUACAAAAUUAAACGCCUAAAUAAAUAACUCUCCACAUAUAGUUGGCCACUGCGAUGUUGCUGCUGCAAUGAACCAAUCUGAAGUUACAUAUUCCUAAUCAUCAUUACCUAACGGCUGAACUUUUGUAAUUAAUUUGUAGACCAAAGAUGCCAACAAGUCUUAGUUUGAAGAGAGUACGUGCUGAGUUUGUUCGGAGCUCUGAGAUGCCCAGGUAAAUUUCAAAUCUCAUAUUCUAAAAAUGUUAUAAUAGCUAUGAACAUUUGUUAGUAUAUGCCCAGUUAAAUUCACAUGUGUUCUCUGUCAUUUUUCUUACAGAUUUAAGAGAUUCCAAGACAUUCAACUUGUUGACAUUGGUUACUCUUGGAGUAUUACCGUUAGAAUUGAAGCAAAGUUCCCUUUUAAUCAAGACUUUCAGCGCUUCAUCCUCAUGGAUACUAUGGCGAGAUUCAAAAAUAAUAGAAGUAAAAUAGUUUCAUUCACAAACUAACACAGAUGGUAAUAAUGUUAUAUAUAAUUGUAGGGUUGCAAAUUAGUGGCGGUCGUGAGUGGCCCCGAUACCGAGAGGUUCAACAGGUUACUACAACAAGGACGUGACUACACAAUUCGUGAUGUCAGAUUCCAAGUUAAGCCGCACACUGAGUUUCGCAAUAUUCAAAGCAAUUACGAUUGUAGGUUGGACCGUUUGACUACAGUGGAGCGUUGGAACAUGCCUAUACAGUUUCCCAUGUGCUCGAAUCAGUUAACGUCCAUCCUUGAAGUCAUGCAUUGCCCAAGCAAGACCUAUAUAGGCAUUUUUAAAGUCUCCACUCUCUUACUUUACCUUUGUACUAAUACAUGUACUAUUUAUAUAGACAUUGCGGGAAUUCUUGUGCACUGGGGGAAAGUUGAGAGACCGCGUUCAGGGCUGUGUAGAGAGGUUGUCCUCAUGGAUUCAAGGUAAGAUUUAUAGCUUGUAACUAUUUUUUUCUAAUAUACAAUCAGUUUUUUGAAUGCCUCCUAUAUUCUAACACAUAAAUAUAUGUAAUUAUAGAGGUGAUUUGAUAGUUGUGAUCAUGUCAUGCAAAGUCUUGGCUGCACAUAAAAUAAAGCUGCAAAAUGCCACUAGUACAACACCGCUUUCUAGUGGCGGUUCUAGAGGGGUUUGUACAAGCGGCAGACAGUACCGCCAGUAGCUUUCGCCAGUACAAAACAAAAAUUAUACAAGCGGUUUAUCAAGAACCGACUGUGUUAACAAUUUACACUAUCGGCUUCAUUUGUACCACCGUCGCUUGUGUAAACAAUUUACACUAUCGCAUUUAUUAUAUGAUCCGCUUCUGAAAUGUCUUUACACAGUCGGUUUGAUAACAAAAUGCGCUGGUUGAAGGUCAUUUACACUGACGGUUUGUAUAGCAAGCCGUCUGUACUAUAUAGCCAGAUAUAGUGUUCUUUUUUGUUUAUGAUCUACCUAAUUGUUUGGCGAAAUAAUUCUCUGUGCACAUGCUUUUCCUGGAUCUUGAUAACUAUGCAGAAAUACAUACAUAUUGAAAAUUUAUUCUUUUUGUUUGAAAAGCCCAUGCACAACUGAAUAUAUGUCUAUUUUGGUAAUGAACUAGAAGAUCAAGAUCUUAAAACACUUUUUAUUAGUUUUAGUUAUGUGUUUUGGUAUUGAUUAUUUGUGAGGCUAUGAGAAUUUAUAUAUGUUUUACCCAUAACAACGCAUAGGCACUCAAGUAUACACUAAAACAGAAGACUACCAAAAGAAUAAGAGAAUAACUUGUGUAAGAAUCACUAACCUUAGGUGGCAUUUCAGGCCGUUGCUGCUAUUCUGGGCCGCCGGCUGAUGCAACCUAGCUUUGAUUCUGGCCCAUCGGUCUGCCAGCGAAAAUCAAUUAAUCAAGCCAAUUGUAUUUUUGUUAUAAAAACUAAAAGGGAAAGACUGUAGUGGGAACGAAAUGUGCAUACUUUUAUAUCUGAUGAAAAAUUUGUUACUGUUUUCUGGGAACCUCCUUUCUUGAGUUGAAAGUUCAUCCACAUUUGCCAACAGUGGUAACUGAUAUUAUUGUGACAAAAUGUUAGCACAACCAGUUUCUUUACAUGAAACAAACACAACACUGAAGACAAACAUUAUCAAGGAAACAGUACGAAAAGACAAGAGCUUGCCUUGAUUAUUUGAGAAAUUAAACCCAUGACCAGAUGAGGCUGCAAGCAAAUAGAAAUAAAUUUCAGUAAGAUUACUAAGAGACUUGUAUGAAUUCUUUAAAAUAUAAAAAAGAUCAGCAAGCAAUACAGUGGCUGCUAGAAACAGCACCCAAAUCUGAUCAUGGAGGAUGUAAAAUGAAGUAAAUCAAACAAGACAGAUCAUAACUUCAAUGAAAAUUAUGAUACCUGAAAGGCUUGGAUGUUACUAAAACCUGCGGUAGAAUCUAAAGGUCAUUUAAGUUACCCUAAACAUUCACUAUCAAACCGAUAAUCAAGUGGGAUCAAUUGAGAUUGAUUGAUUCUUUCAUGGUACCAUGGACGCAAAUUUCAAGUAUCUUGAAUUUGCACAACAACCAUCAAGCUAACCAUAUGUUACCACUCCAACUUUACAUGAUUGUCCCGUGGUGGUCAAGUGGCAACCACCAGCGUGCUGAAGUACGGACAUGAAACUAAAAAACCUAUAUAGACAAUUUACGUAUAAUUUCGGGCCGUGGCUGCUAUUCUGGGCCGUCGGCUGAUGCAACCUAGCUUUGAUUGUGGCCCAUCGGUCUACCAGCGAAAAUCAAUCCUGUUUAGAGGUUACGAUCAGUUAGCAUAAAAGGGAACUCUGGUAACAUUUGCCUAAUCAAUCUGCUAAAUCCUCGGAUCAAGUCCUCAUCCACGCGAGGUCAUUGCGCCUUCCAAGCAGAAGUACUGAAGGACUACUACGUCUACGUCUUCGAGGUGCCGCCGCCAUCAAAUCAUCAACACACGUCCGGCCGUCAUAAAAACAGUAUGUUUCCUAUCCCAAUUGGCGUUACGUAGGCGGGGGAAAGGGGGGAAUAGCGUCACGCAGAUGGGUGGACGGGGAAUGGGAGCCGCGUGAACGUACCUUGCCAAUCUUCUCGAAGUAGUCGGUGAGACACAGGUUCCAUUCGUUGAUGGUGUUGUCGGUGAUGGCGGAGAGCCAGGCGGGCCAUCCGGCGUCGAGAUGCUCCCCGCGCGCUGUGUUGGCGAAUCCGGGGCCGGGGACGCUGCAUAACGAGCGGGAGCGACUCUACCGCCAGGCCGGCUGCUCUGCUGGUGCUGUCGGCUGCUCUGCCUUCCCGGUGGCCUCCUCCGCUGCUGCGGGGGCCGGCGGCUCGGGUACUGGACGCGGAGGGCUGGCCAUGGACGCAGCCAUGGGGAGAUCCUCACCGGUGAAGUCUCAUGGGGGAAGGGCGGCUGCGACUGCUGGUCGGUGCUGGGCGCGGAUGGGCGGCCGUGGACGUAGCCUAUUGGAAGAUCUUCACCGGCGCUGUCUCAUGGGUGAACUCGAGAGGGGGAGGAUCGCUCCGAGAACACGAGGAACUGGACAAGGGAUUGGAGUGGAGCGGAUGCGGCGACUGCGGCUGAUGGUCGGGUCGGGUCUGGAAGCAGAGGCACGGGCGGAGCUGCCAAGCUGGGCUUUUUGCCAAUCUGCCACUGUGCUUCUGCGGAGCUGGGAUCUCACACUUGUAUUUUAUUAUAUGUUAUAAUUAAUGUAUGAUCUACUCCCUCUUUAAAUCAUAAAUCAUAGGAAAUUUUAUUGUUUCUUCAAGCUGCCUGACAUACAAUUUAUGAAUUUUUAGAUGUUGUUAGUGACGAAACCAUGUAAUAAACAAGAGAAAAAGGUGUGCCCAUCCAGGUCGGUGUUGCAAUAUAAUAAACCAAAGAAAACGGACACGGUCAAAAGUCAACCUCAAGGUUCUUACUUUCAUUGACCCUUCCUAUUUUUCUUUCGCUAAUGAGACCUUCUAAUUCUUUAUUUUCCUGUGUUUUAUGCAGAUUAUGUUUGCAACGCCGAAGAUUAUAGUACUAUUGAAAAUAUUCUGUUGCAACCAAAAAAAAGUAUUGGUGGACAUCCAGGGAAUGACCAUAGAACGCCAUAGAACGAGAUAUUUUGGAAUGCCUCUUACAUGAUAAUAGAUUUUUGGAAGGAGAUGUAAGUAUAUGCAUGCAUGAUUUCAUGUUUCAAAAUGCUUUGCUUAUUCUGAUUCUGAUUUACUGCUUGCAAUACAUAUAUAUAUAUAUAUAUAUAUAUAUAUAUAUAUAUAUAUAUGCAUAGGUCUUAAGUGCCUACAUUGAGCUUAUGAGGUCCGAAAAACAUCUCCAAAACAGAGCUGGUGGAACGGUAUUCCUAGAGAAUACGUUCAAUACAAGUAUUCUACAGCGUGAUGGCAAGAUAAAUGAGGAAUACCUCGAUCCUAAGGUAGAUCACAUAGCAAAAAGGGUGUGCAACUAUUGGGAAUAUGACAUGGUAAAAUUGUGCAUCUCAAGCCCAUAAAUGUCGUUAUCAUUUAGGUGUAUUCCAUUAUAAUAUUUUAACUUUUGAUUUAGGUAUUUCUUCCGAUCAACAUCAAAGACUUUCACUGGUACCUUGCAGUGGUGGAUGGUAUAAAUGAAGAGAUACAUAUGCUCGAUUCAUUAGGUAAAACACAGGAGAAUCGUUAGGAACUUGUCUAUACGGUUAGUAAAAUAUUAACUUUAUUUAAAAGUUCUGCCUGAUUGUUAUUUUUUUAUUACUGACUAUGUGUUAUAUUAGAUAAUUGGCCUACAGAGACACAUAGAUAUUGUAGCAAAACAUAAAGAUAUACAAACAAAAUGGAAGAACCUUCAAGUUCAAGAUUGGAAAUUCAAUGAGGAAUUCACAAGUGCCAUGCAAACAGAUGGGUAUAAUACUCCAUCAUAUGUAUCAUACAAAUACAAUUAUUUAAAAUUCAACUAAUAUACUAUAGAUAUAACUGUUAGUGUUACGUUUUCAUGUUUCAAAAUUGGUAGGUCAUCAUGUGGCUUAUUCAUGCUUAACUACAUGGAAUAUUGGAGAGGAAAAGGAAAAGGUCUAUCAGACAGUGUAACUCAGGUAUAUAGGAAUAAUAAUGUUUUAUUUGUUGAUUUAUUAUAUUUUUUUUAGUAACAUGUCAUCAAAAAAUAAUAUGCAUACAAGAUGAUACAUAGGGUGAUAUGAUUCAAACUACUUGCCAUUUUGUUGAACUGCCAACAAAAUGCCCGGGAAUGGUGGUUGACUUCCGAAACUGAUGAUAAGGAAGAAGAGAGUAUAGAUGAAAUUGAAAUUUUAGAUAGACCACUAAAAAAAAGCAGGGGUGAGAAGUCAUAUGCCUAUGAAGAAGAUUUAAUAUUGUCCAGGGUUUCAAAUUAUAUCAACUCCAUUAGUGAUGCAACUACUUUAGAGUAAGUCACCUCUAUUAUAUAUAUAUAUAUAUAUAUAUAUAUAUAUAUAUAUAUAUAUAUAUAUAUAUAUAUAUAUAUAUAUAAUAGUUGGUAUUUUCCUUUAAUUAUAUGCAUAAUUUUUUUGUAGGUCCUUUGCAAAGAAGUUAGCUGACAUGUUGCAAAAUGCUAACGCACAUGCCCUUACAUUUCGUGACUUGCCAAUGGGCGAACAAGAAUUAAGAGACCGUGUUUGCAAUUAUAUCAUGACAAUUAACGAAGAUAUGGCUUUAGAGUAAGUUUAUUUUCGUGAUAAAUGACAAAUCAUAUACCACGUAUUGUUACAUGUAUACAAAUAUUCAUAUUUUACAGGCAAAAAUGGGUUGUAAGUGCAAAGCCCUAUCCGAUUGUGUUGAGUCUCAAGAAAACCCAAAGGAUGUUAAACAAGAACGAGGGAAUUCAUGAUGAUUGUUUUAACCUGGUAGCACGGAAGUUUGCUUUUGAAGAACUUGAAAAGUUGAAGGGAACAAACAAGAUUGUGUCAAAGCAUUACAUGGAUUUAAAGUUUUCGGUAGGUUUUACUUUAUAUAAUGGCAUGAUAUAUAAUCACUAUUUCUUUUGUUGUAUAUUUCUAGACUUUCAUUCAUUAUAUUACUAUAUAGCUUGCAUGUCAACUAAGUAAUGGUGACGAGUAUCGAACAAAAGUUGAUUAUAACCAACUGGCAAAAUUUGCUCUUGAAUGUCCUUGGAGAAAAUAUAAUGUUAAAGAGUGCACAUGGGUAACGUUGUUUCUCUUAUUAUGUUCCUUGCAUCUUUUGUGUAAAUAAAUACCAUGUUAUUCUUAAAUAUCAUAUUACUGAGAUGCUCCUUUUCAAUUACAGAUUCUAAUACCACUUCAAAUGGUUACAGCAUGAGGUAUUUAUAAUCUUUUUUGUUCAAGACAUGUCUAGAAGAGCUCUCUACAUAGUAGACCAAACUCCUAAACCUGAUCUUUACAAGAUUCAACCACUAAAAAAUAUACAAACAAAAUUCAAAGGGUUUCCACUGCCCUAAAUGAAGUCAUGAAAGUUUCAUGCCCUUGGUGGCGAGAUGAUUUAAUCCUCUUUGACCAUAGAGUUGCAGAAGUCAACCAAUUUGAGUUAAAUGGGUAAAUACUUUUACAAUAGAAACUAUUUGUUUUUAUAUUCUACUAUAUAUAUAAUAGUAAUAAUUUAAUGCUUCCUCAGGGACUUGUCUGGUUAUAAUGUUCUACUUGCUAUGCAUGCGUGGAAUGGUAAAAGGAUAGAAACAUCCAUUUGCAAUAAUGUGAGUAUUGACCUUUGUAGAUUAUUAUUGUUUUUUCACCUCAUAUAUUUGUUUAACUAAACCUAUAUAUGUGUAUAAAAAUCUUACAGGAUAAUUAUGAAGUGAGGAAGCAUAUAUUGCUACACCUACUCACAUAUACCGGGAACAAAAAUAUUGCCAACAUACCUAAAGGUGUUCGAGAUCACCUUGAACGCUAUAUUUGUCUCACAAGCAAAAAAAGAUGAAUUGUUUCUUAUUUUUCUACUUGUUUCUUUAUUUUAAAUAUAAGUAGAUUGAGAUGUGUGUUUUAAUAUUAAUUAUUAUUAUAUUAAUUGUGAUGAUAUGGAAAUUAACGUAUAAUUUGUUGUGUGAUGUGUUACCCGUAGCGACUUUACGUAUAAUUUGUUGUGUGAUGUGCUACCCGUAGCAACGCACGGGCACUCAACUAGUGAGUAUUAAGCAUCACAAUAAUAACCAUAUCCGGAUUAUCACAUAGCUAUCAUCAUUCUCAUCAUAACCAUUAAGUUUAUUUAGUGAAUUCUACGUUGCCGCUGCUCGAGUCAAGUUCUCACUAUCUGGGAGAGACGACAAUUCGAAUCGAUUCAUAUCCAGCUGGAGGGGUAUUCCUAGCACUCACCCAAGCAUACCUCGCGAGGGCAGCUUGGAUCACCUUUAGCACAACUCCGGACCAAGUCGCGGGUCCGUCCAGCGCCGCACCCCCAAGGACCACCAAUCUGCCAGGGCAGGACUCCAACCUGACACCUUGGGCUUACGUCAUUUACUUCCCGCACAUCCUUGCUACCAACCGGGGUGCGCACUCAUACAGAACCGGGUAUCCGGCCUGAGUUGCACUCGUAGGCUUCGCGGUUGGAACGACUUUUCCGGCCAACUAAGUGUUAGGCAUGCGUUCAACAUGACACGAGGACGUACAGCAAAUCGGUCCUUAACCGACACAGACGGGGAUAGAUUCACACCCAAGACCUCCAUGCCUUGUUGCUGCACUAUCGUCAUCCCGUCCGGUCUCAAUUCAUUAUUAGUCUUUGGUUAUUUCCACGAUAGCAAAUAUAACCAACCGUGAUCAAGUAUCCACCUAUCUCUCGCAGGUGACAGGAAAUCACCCGGCUUGUACCGAGCUAAGCAUGGCUAAGCAUCAUUUCGAUCCUGGACCUACUUAGGUAAGUUAUGAGGUGGACAAGGUAGUCAUUAUGCAGCAAGGGUGUCAUAUCAACGCCUAACACUUAAUGCAACAAUACAUAACCAUAGUUAUUUGACAGCUGGACAUGAUAACAAAAAAAUAGUAGGAGGCUUAUAAUGCUCCAGGGCUUGCCUUCGAUGUAGGUAGAGGGACGAUGGUCGGGACACUCCGGUAGAUCCUCCUCCUCAGCUCCUUAAGGUGGCUCCCCCUGCUGCUCCUUCGGCUCGGGUGGUGUGAACUCCAAGACCGUCACGCCCUUGGGUACACCUAAGUAUGCAUGACAAGGUGAUGAAUAAAGGGAAUGCACACAUGAUGCAUGAUGUUAUGAUGAUAAGCCAAAAGAACAUGAAACAAGAUGCAACAUGAUCAAAAGUUCCUAAGAGUAAUUGAAUCCUGACUAAGUAAGUAAGUGCAUACUUCUUCUCUGGUAGAGAGGCUAACUAGACAAGCUACUCAACCGUAGCUACUCACACUAAGUAACUGGUGUCAUGGACAGAUUAGCUUGUCAUAAGAUUCAGCUAUAACCUAGGCAUCAUUUGGCCAAACUAAGCAAGUGGGCACUUUCUGGAAAGCUUAACAAAUUUUCUACAAUUAGCUUUCAGACAUCCAAGAAGGAUUCCCAGCCGAAAUAGGUUGAAACAGACAAAGUUGGCUGGCUGCUUUGGAAAAUCCAGAGAGCAAGCACUUUGCAGCAACUUCAUGCAAUAGUCAUAACUAGUCAUAACUUUUAAACUACUCAGCCAAAUGUCAUGGAAUUUGGACACAAGGUAGAUAAGUAAGUUAGCUACAAGUUUGUUGUAGAUAAGUUUUCCAGAAAACCUCACCUUCAAGCAGUUCUUAAACAAUUGCUAUCAGCUAUACAGAAUAUGCUCUAGGAAAGACAUAAGUAGCAAAAUAAUAUUUUGACACAUACUAAGAAUGUAACAUUGGUUGAAACCAAAUGCACCAGUAGAUAGAACAUGUAUAAGAAACACCAGAAAACAUCAUGGCAAGGUUUAAACUCAUUUCUAUUAUCCCCUUUUCUAUUUAUUUGAUUAUUAGGAUGAUUUAAUGAGCAUGUAACACAAGUGCUCCAAAAAUUCUAAUACAAUUACAGCAAGCCAACUAGACCACCACCAGUUCACUGUAAAAUUUUCAGGGCUCUUGCACAUGCAGAUUGUGAGAUACAAAAAUGACAAGCUAACAAUGGCAUUAAAGGCAUAAUUGUGAAACCCUAUCAAAAAGUGCCAAACAACAGAUUUCAUAUUUUUCUUAGUUUUUCUUAGACAUGAUUACAUCACUCAGCAAGUUUCAACAUAAAAGGAGUUAUAACUUAUUUACUAAAAAUAAUGAAACUUCUAUUUAAACAAGAAUUAUUUAAAACUCCACCAACAGUUAUCCAAAAAUCAUGAUAAAUUUACAAGAGCCUAUUCACACCUUAAGUAACACUCUCCUAAAUUUUCAUGGCCAUAAGACUCAUAGAUCUCAAGAUAUAAUUACCUCCUAUUAAACAAGAUUAAAUCAUAUCUAUCUAUUUAUGCAAAAACAUGGCAUGUUUUAUAUUUUUAAUAAAAACUAGACUAACACAAGAACCUAACAAAAUUGGAAUCACUCCAUUUGGAUCUGUAUAGCUCGAGUUAUGAAUUUUACAAAAACAACACAGGAUCUGCAAAAUAGUAGACACCACACACCAGGGAGAGAGAGACAGAGGCUGACAGGUGGGGUCUGCUGACAGACGGGACCCACGCGAUAGAGAGACAGAGACAGGGGAGAGCUCGUCACCGGUGAAACUCGACGACGGCGAGGUCUCGGUCGAAUCCAAGGGCACCAUCGUGACCCUCUCACCAAGGCGGACCUGCCGAGGUGCAAAACCCUAACUCUACCAAGCUCUAGAGGCUCGUCGGUGUGAAUGGCGGCUCGGCGGCGCUGCGGGCGGUACGCUGGCGUGCUCUGCCGAUGCCGUCCCAGUUGAGCUUCACGCCGAGCAUCAGUGAGUCAAGGGGAAGCUCUAGGAACAAAAAUGAGAAGGAAUGGUAGAGCAGGGAGGUUUGGCCAUGUCGCCGGUGAUCUCUGCGAACUCCAGUGAGGUGGAGCUCGCGACGGAGUGGACAAUGUGGCCUCACGAGUGCUCGGCUAAGGGAAAGAGAUGUACGUCGAGGUAGAGGACGUCGAGGCGGCGCUCUAGGCGGGCUGGCUUGGCCGGAGACACGGUGGAGCGGUCGGGAAAGCUCGCCGAAGCACGGCGGAGCUUGCCGAGAACGAAGGUGGAGGGAAUGGAGCGCUCUGAGCGAGUGGAGGUCGCGUCUGAGGCGUCCUUGCGGUGUGUGGCGACUUAUGGGCGACGCUGGAGCUGACAGGAGGGCCAUCGACGGCGUACGGCCGACAGGUGGCCGGACAUGUGGCGGCGGGUGAGCUCUGUCCCAACUGAAUCGGGCGAUUCAGUCGCCGUGGACAGUAACUGAAACUCGAUUUUCAUCAACGUUUUACUCUCAAUUCACUCGAUGGUUUUGGCUCGGAUUUGUUCCUUUAGAUAGAUCUACAUGAGUUCUCAAGAUUGCUUAAAGGAUCAAGGUCUAACUCGGCCUGGAUUUCAAGCUAUAGAGCUCCCAAGUACCCUAUAUCGAAACUGCCGAUUCCAGACUUUGCUAAAUUCGGCUAUGUGUGGAAACAGCCCUAAUUUCUGGCUUGUGAGCAAAUUUUGAAUGUGUUCCAUGCAUUUUCAUAAAAAAUCAUCAACACAACUUUUGUAGCUUAUGAAAUUUACUACAACUUUACUUUAGAUGUCAUUUACAUGCAAGGUCUCUAACACUGGUUUCAUAAAAGGUCUUUGAAAAGAGGUUUAGGGGGGUCAACUAGGCCAACCUAGGGCUAACCAUGACCUAGGGGCAUUUUUGGGCAAAACCUCCAACAUAAACUUUGUUCAAAAUGUUAUUCUAAACAUGAUUAACGUAUUUUGGAAGACAAUGUGCACUUAUAUGCAUUGGUCACACAUUACUAUCACCUAUAGCAAGUCACACAAGCAAUUCAAUCACAUAGUGUAUACACCAAAUGACAUGUGAUCAUGGUGUGAUGCUCAUGAGUGAUCAUGAUGAUGAUUAUGUUGAUGCAAUGCUCAUGGUUAACAUGCAAGCUAACACUAGGAGUGUUACAUCAUCGGCAGUAAUCUGGUGCUGAGGAUCCACCGAUGUGCUUUUUUCAGCUGCCUCUGAAGUCAAUACUUUGGUCUUUCCCUUAGCAUCCAACAUAUUUGUAGGGAAACGAUGUUGGUCGAUCUUCAUCGGCUUUUGAGCUUUGGAGUUAUCGAACCUAAUUCUCCCAAACUCUAUAGCCGACUGCAGCUGCUGCCUGAAAACUUUGCAUUCAUUUGUACUAUGAGAUGUUGCAUUAUGCCACUUGCAAUACUUAAUCUUCUUUAAUUCUUCUGCCGAUGGAAUCACAUGGUUAGGUGACAACUGAAUUUGCCCCUCCUGAAGCAAAAAGUCAAAUAUCCUAUCGGCUUUGGUGAUGUAAAAUGCAAACUUUUCUGGAUCUUUAUGCCCAAAAGGGCAAGACAUCGGCUUUUUAUUUUUUACCCAUUCUGCCAAGCUGAUGACUGGCUCUUCAUCAGAAUCUGAGCUCGUUGCCUCAUCGACAAAUGACACCUUUUUGUUCCAUGCCCUCUUGGGUUCAAAAGCUUUGAUAUCUUGGUCAGAAAUCCACUGCACUAAAUGGCUCAGACUUUCAAACUCUUGAGAAGCAUACUUGUCUUUAAUGUGUGGCAACAACCCUUGGAAAGCCAAAUUGGGGAGCUGCCGAUCAUCCAAAACCAGACUAUAACAUUUAUUCUUAACAUCUCGCAACCUUUGCACAAAGCUCUCAACCGAUUCGUCAUUGCUCUGCCUUAGCCUGACUAAAUCGGUAAUCUUCUUCUCAUGCACUCCAAAAAAGAAGUAUUUAUGGAACUAUUUUUCUAGAUUGGCCCAGGUGAUCACUGAGUUUGGAGGUAAUGAAAUAAACCAAGUAAAGGCCGAUCCAGACAAAGAUGAUGAGAAUAAGCGAACCCUUAACUCAUCUCUGUUAGCAGUUUCCCCAUACUGGAUGAUGAACCUAUUAACAUGCUCCAUGGUUGACGUAUCAUCCUGCCCCGAAAACUUGAUGAAAUCCGGCACCUUGUACCGAUUUGGAAGCGGAAUUAAGUCAUAUGCUGGAGGAUAUGGUGUCCGAUAAGAGUAAGUGUUGACUUUGGGUUUUAUCCCAAAUUGGUCUCUCAUCACCUCAGCUAUCUUAUCGGCCCAGUAAGCAUCAGCAUAUUGCCGAUGAGCUUGUUGUGGAUUCGGCAUCUGCUGAUAAGCUUCCACAUGUCUCUGCAGUGCACGAUCCCUACAGAACAUAGGAUUAGCCACCGCCUGUUGACCACCAACUUGGUGACCAAGAUUCAUCGGCUGGUUGAUCAACCCUUGAUUUUGAAAUCCAGGUUGCAUUGGUCCUUAUUGAAAUCCCAUAGCCUGAUGAUUUUGCUGAGGCAUCUAUGGAAAGACAAACUGCCCUGUCCAUCCAUUGUUAACAUUCAUCGGCGUAGGUCCUGCCGAUGGCUGAUAAUUGGGCACCAUCAUCGAAUUGACAUACCCUAGCUGUGUCAUAAACCUUUGCUGUGUCAGCAUUGGAUCUGCCGAUGCAUUAGGCAUCUAGAACGUUGGCAUUUGAGAAUUCCUAGCAAAAGGUCUUGUAGUAGUAGUUGUAGAAUACUUGGGAUUCUGAGUCAUCGGUGAGCCUGGGGGUGCCGAUGCCAUAGGAGCAUUGCCUGUCAUGUCAGCCACUUGAGAUGUCCCAGAACUUUUUGCCAUAAAUUCUGGGGGCAUACCAUAUCCCCACCAAUUGGGAGGAACAGAUACUGACAUUGCUGAUGCUAAUAAAUCUGUAGCAAGUUUGACUUGUCCCUCUGAUGUUGAUGGAUUAGUCGUCAUCGGUGUAGAUUGCGCAUUAGUCAUCCCUAAUGUGCUUGGAGGAGAAGUAACUUCCGUACCUGCAACGGCUGUAGUAGCCGAUGGAGCCGUAACCGAUGAUGAUCCUGGCUGAUGAUAGUCAGGGCCCACAUAAGAUGGUGGUAUCUGUCCUUCUUUGAAAGUUCUAGCCACAACAUUGAAAACUGUAUUGGACAGCACAUUAGAUUGAUUGAUUAGAGCACAAAUGAUAGCACUGUCAACCAUCUCUUGUUGUUUACUAGGAUUGGCUUCAAAAGUGAUUUGCCGAGGCAUCAACAAUGCUUCCUUUUGGAUCACCUCGCCACUCCUGUUGAUAUUGAAGGAUUUCAAGCAUAGCUGCUUGUAGUCCUCCAUAGCUUUUGCCAUAUCUUGCUUCUAUUCAUCUCUGAGAUUGGCUUCCGUCACGGGGAUGACGUUCUCCAAGUCGAAAUUAGUGUUCGACAUAAUGAUCUUGAUGUUGAAUCAUUGUCCCACUGGGCGUGCCAAAAGAUGUGUUCGUGCAAAAGUAGAUCUACAAACACAAAGGGCUAAUACCCGAUUCAACAUUAAGACGUGCCAGCCGAUUUGACCUUACAAUCGACAAAGGUGGUAACUCGAAUACUUUGGUCCCGACAACAGCGAUGCGCCCGGAUGUCACGGCCAAGAGGUAUUCACACGGAACUCGAGAAUUCACCGAGGUUAACUCGUUGUAAAAGGAAAAUAUGCAGGUUGAUGAAGUCGUCAAAAGUAGAUGCUGAAAUAGAUGUAAAAACUUGUGUUUGGUUGAUUGUGUCUAACAUUACAUCGCUACGGGGUCUCAUAUUUAUACCCUGCCCAAAAGGGUUACAAUCAGACACGACUAGGACUCGAAUUCCAAAUUGAACGGAAUCCGUACACAAAACAAACUCUAAUAACUGUGGAAAGCAUUAAGUUAUCUUCCACAACCGUUCGGUACACCACCUUGAAUCGAUCGACAAUUCCAGCGCCUUUCUUUGUGACCAUCGGCGAACCACCUUUCAUAGCCAUCGGCAACCAUCAGCACCAUUCAUCGGCAUGAAUCCCUCACCACUCCUAGACUUGGCCAUAUUCUGUCGUUUUCUCAUCGGCACCAACCCUCAUUGGCAACUCUCCUGUCAACUAGUCACCACUUUUCUGCCUGCCGAUCUACGCCUUAUUAACUCCAGAUACGCAUCCAAAGAUACGUGUCCAAAAACGGUGUCGACACUGCCAAGCUAGACCUGCUCAUGAAGAAGCUCGAUGAUAAAGCUAGAGAUAAGAAGGAAGUUAUGCACGUCUAUGACUCUCACAUGAUUUGUGAGGACUGUGGAGAUACUGGACACUCAGGCAAUCACUGCCCUGAGAUGCUUGAGGACGUGAACUACAUCAACAACAAUAACAACAACAACUACUACCACCGUCGUCAACAAAAUCAAGAUUGGAAUCAACAGAGGCCUAACUACUCAGGUAAUUAUCAAAGUAACAAUUCUUACAAUAAUAAUAAUAAUUUUCCACCUCUGAGAGAGUUAGUGUCUAAUCAAGGAAAGCUAAUGGAUAACCUAUCUAAGAAAUUGGCAUCUAAUGAUAAAAUUCUAGAAAAAAUAAAUAAUAGAAUGAAUAAUUUCUCUACUGCCAUCAAGAAUCAAAUUAGCUUUAAUAAAAUGAUUGAAUCUCAGUUAAAUCAAAUAGCUGCUGCUGUUCCAGCUACUAACCCCGGUAUACCAUCACAACCUUAAGGAUUAGAAUCUGCAAAUCUUGUAGACAUGUUUGAUACAGGUAACUACUGGAGUAACCCCGUCGCGGAAGUUACUACUGACCUUCUACCGGUCAAGAGAGGCGAUCUAGGACGCCCUGCCAUCCCGAUCUCCAUCGACAUGGUGGACUUCCCAGAAGCACUCUGCGACUUUGGCUCUAGUGUCAACAUUAUGCCAGGGUACUCUAUGAAAAAUUCUUUAUAUAUCCUUUAUUAGAAACAACCAUGUGUUUGCAGCUUGCCGAUCGGACAUUAAGUUUCCCAAAGGGAAUAUUGAAGAACCUUUGCGUCCGAGUUGGUACCUUGUACGCCCUAGCAGACUUCGCGGUGACAGAGACCGGUAAUGAUGAGAGGGCACCCGUCAUCUUAGGGAGGCCAUUCCUGAACACCUCGAGAGCUGUCAUCUACGCUAGUGCUGCCAUGAUCAGUUUUUACAUCAAGGGGAGGAAGGAGACGUUUUCCUUCAAGGACAAGACUACACAAAUCCCAGAGCAAUCCCGACAUGAACCAAGGAAGAGGACCAACAGGAGGAACAGGAACAAGCAAGUGUGGACCGAGUCAGCUAAGAUGGUCACUGCAGUUCAAGGAGGUCAAGAUCAUCGACUCAAGUCACCAUUCCUGACCAAGAAGGACGACCUAGGUAUGCCAAGCAUCCAGUGCUCCAUUAAUUGGUACAACUUCUACAAGAUGCUUUGCGACACCGGAUUGGGCGUCAACAUAAUAGCCGCAGUCACCUAUGAGCUCCUGUUUGGAACCAUAACCCUAAAACUGACAUACAUUCAGCUCCAGAUGACAGAUCAGACAUUUCGAAAGGUUGAAGGUAUAGUAACUGAUGUCCCUAUUAAAAUAGAUAAUCAUUUUGUCCAUACAGACUUUCAGGUUAUUGACAUUGGAGAAGGCGAGUAUGAUCCACCCAUCGUCCUUGGGAGACCUUUCCUCAGUACUGUUAAACCAAUCAUCUACAUUGGAACUAGAGCAUCUCAUUCUCCCCAAAAAGUUUCAAAAGAGCAAGAACGGUAUGUAUCCCCUCAAGUAGAAUUAGACUUUCACCAUUGUUGUCGCCAUCAUCACCAUACACCAUUCAUUUUGCCACACAUGCACAUCUUGAUUUGACUUAUUGACUUGUUUCUCUGGAUCCAUGGUUUGACUAUGCAAUAAAUGUCUUGUAAGUAUGUAUACUUUAUCUCCCACCUAUGAGCUCCAGAUAUCAAAAGCCUUAUUAAAGUAGGGUGAGAGAGAGAGAGCAAGGUCACUGUGCUUUAUACUACAAAUACCACAUACUUUGAGAGAGAAGGGAUAUACCAUCACUGCCUUGGUAAGGAUCCAGAAAUACCACAAAAGAGAGAUCUGAGAGAGUCAUACAAGGAAUCUCUGAGUUUUAUUUGAAAAUCUGCAAAAACUCCAGAGCUAUGGCUAAUCAAGAAUAAGAGACAUGGCGCUUGACUAGACCGUUCUAUCUUUUAACUGCUCAAGACAGAAAUGACGGUUACAAGUCCCAUGGUAAAAGGUAAAAUGAGUAAGUUUUAAAUCUUGACGGUUUACUCUAACUCAGAGAUGAGACCUUAUUUGAAAGCAUGUGUACCAUCAAAACUCAAAGGUAUUACGCAACUUCUGAUCCAUCACUGAGAUUAUCCUUGCUCAGGGACGAGCAAGAGGUAAGCUUGGGGGAGUUUGUUGACAUUCCUUAAAUAUCAAAUAUAAUCAACAAAUAAACAAAGAAAAGGAUCCAAAUGCAACCGGCACCUAGACUUAGGGUUUUAUCGGACAGAAUUCCAUGAGUUUUGGUGUUUGUCUAUUUCUGCAGGGGGUUAUCAGGAAUUAUGGAAGAAAGGCCCACACGUCGGGUUUACAUAGAGAUAUUAAUGUGCACCACAAUUAUCUAACAUCUAGAAGAGUCCAGAAGCCACGGGAACGAGCGGGAGGCCGAGCGAGCCCGGGGGCAGGGCGCCCGCCCUCCCCCCUUGGGCGCUCGCCCUGGCCUGAGAGCCAAUCAGGCUCCGCCUCGCGGAUCAUGCUCCACCGACCUAAGGGAUUAAGGAAAACCGUGCGAUUAAGGUCAGUUUGAUCUGACGGUCCAUAUUCAUUUGGAGGGACUAUAUAAGCAGACCCCCUGGCCCUUGGAGGAGAGGACCGGAGAAACCCUAAUUCAUUCGUACAUCUUUGGAGAAGAAGUCCCUGAUCAAGCACUAGAGCCACCACAUCAACUAGAUCUCUAGUUUUGCAUCUCUAGUUUAGCAUAGCUACAUAGGAUUAGAACUAGAAGGAAUCAAUCUUCGAUUGGUUUCCGGAUCUGUCAAGAGGACUCUUGGUAAUUCCUCAACUGUUCUUCAUUUGUUCAUCAUUGUUCUUCAAUAUUAUGAAUAUGACUUUAUUCUACUUCAAUAUAUUGAUUAUGACUUUGCUCUACUUGUUUAUAUUUGCAAUUAUAUUGUUCUUAAUUUAUCAUAGUUAUAUGCUUGUCGUAGUCAGAUUGGAAUUAUAUACAUGUUUAGGAUCAUAUAGCGUUUAUCCAUGUGUACAAUGGGUAAAUGAUAAGUAUUAUGUAGGCGUGGUGCCUAUGCCGUAUUUAUCUGCGAUUGUACCCUAUAUGCCGGAUCGCGGGGUAGUUCGUGGUGGUGACAGCUCCAUUGAUUCUUGUAUAGUCCCCCUCUCGUGUAUAGGGCAGGUAGAGCAACAUUAUUACAGGGGAGUGAUUGCUAUGUUUCUUAUCUUCCUUGAUAAUAUCACUAUGCAUGGGCGUAGUCCUGUCUCGCAAUGAUUGCCAAGUAUAAUUGCACUAACUAUGAUAUGCUAGACUUUAUAGUUAAGAAUAACUUAGGAAAUAUUCUUGUAGUUCAUCCUAAUUCCAUGCUAAUGACUUGCUAGAAUAUCUGUUGAGGUGCUUAUCAUUAUUAUAUGUGGCUAGUUAUGCUGAUCAGAUUAAUUAUGUUUGUCACCAGUCAUACUUUUUCUAUAUUUUAUGUGACAUUUAUCCCUGUAUGAAAGAGAUAGAUAAAUGCUCUCCAUUAUACAUGCAAUGAUGGAUACUCAAUUCCAUAUUUCAUUCCAUAAUCAACAUUGAAGAUUAGCAAUCCCUUCCCAGUGGUAAAAAUAUAAAUAACGAUACCUGGAAUACUUUCCGAUUAAAAUGCUACAUCGGUAUUAAUCUGUGCGCUUGCAGAUCUCAUUUAUUAUUCAUUCAGAAGAGCAAUUGCAUAUUUCAUUACCGCGUCUCUCAUGUCAUGCUGGGGAUGACAACUUGGCUUAAGUGGAAUGAGGGAUAGGUUUGGCAUUUUGGGCACCAUUAUCAGAACUAGAAAACUAAGUCUACUUUUGGUAAUGACGUUAAGAAUGCCCAAAAGAUGUGAACCUAACGGUAUACCUAAAGCUUUGAUUACCACUUGAUGAGAACAAGGGUGGCCCGAUCUUCCGAAAGGUUUUGAUAACUCUCGAUUUGGUGGAGACGAGACACAAUUCGAUCCGGCUUCCGAACAACACGAUCUGAAACCCUGCAAUUUUUUUUCGAUAUUUUUCUUUUAGUUACGAGCACCAAAGGAGUAACCACAGAAAAUUUGAGCUUAAACAAGUGAAACACAUGGCCUGCGGAAUUUUUUGAAGAUUGUGAAAAAUGUGAAAAAAACUUGACGAGGUGAAAACUCAAAAUUUGGAGGUGAAUUUGGAGGUUCUAUAAUUUUCAAACCCACCAAUGGAGGGGACAGACAUAUCUGAAAUUUUUUUUUGAUCAAUUUUGAUAUAUGGAACGUUGAAAUCGGAGUUCGUAUGCGAAAGUUAUGGCUAUUUUACGAACGGACUCCAAAUUAGAGGACAAAAUGGUCCGAAAGUAGGAAAAAUUCGCGGCAGUGGCUAGAAAUUGAUGGAAACGGUGGGAAAAAACACACAAACUGGACUCUAACAAGACCUAACCAGCAACAAGACCUCGACCAGGACACAAACUCAACACUGUGGACUGUCAAACUGAAAUAUACAAAGGCUAUGGCGCGGAAGGGUUGUAGGACAAUAAAACGAUAUGACACUAGACUUAUGGGACAAACACAAGAACACUCAAAAGUAAGGGUAGAUGUGAACCUAAUGGUAUACCUAAAGCUUUGAUUACCACAUGAUGAGAAUAAGGGUGAUCCGAUCUUCUGAAAGGUUCUGGUAACUCUCAAUUUGGUGGAGACGAGACACAAAUCGAUACGGCUUCCGAAUAACAUGAUCCGAAACGCUACAAAAUUUUUUUAUUUUUUUGAUAUUUUACUUUUAGUUAGGAGCACCAAAGGAGUAACCAUAGAAAAUUUGAGAAUAAACAAGUGAAAUACAUGGCCUGCGAAAUUUUCUGAAGAUUGUGAAAAAUGUGAAACAAACUUCAUGAGGUGAAAACUCAAACUUCGGAGGUGAAUUUGGAGGUUCUAAAAUUUUCAAACCCGCCAACGGAAGGGACAGACAGAUCCAAAAUUUUUUUCUGAUCGAUUUUGAUAUAUGGAAUGUUGAAAUCGGAGUUUGUAUGUGAAUGUUAUGGGUAUUUUACGAAUAGACUCCGAAUUAGAGGACAAAACGGUCUGAAAGUGGGAAAAAAUUGCGGCAGUGGCUAGAAUUUGAUGGAAACUGUGGGGAAAAACACAUGAACUGGACUCUAACAAGGCUUAACCAGCAACAAGACCUCGACGAGGACACAAACUCAACACUGCGGACUCUAAAACUAAAAUAUGCAAAGGCUAUGACGCGGAAGGGUUGUAGGACAAGAAAACAAUAUGACACAGGACUUAUGGGACGAACCAAGAACACUCGAAACUAAAGGUAGAUGUGAACCUAACGGUAUACCUAAAGCUUUGAUUUCCACAUAUGAGAACAAGGGUGACCCGAUCUUCUGAAGUUCUGGUAACUCUCGAUUUGGUGGAGACGAGACACAAAUCGAUCCGUCUUCCGAACAACACGAUCCGAAACCCUGCAAUUUUUUUUUGAUAUUUUUCUUUUAGUUAGAGCACCAAAGGAGUGACCACAGAAAAUUUGAGCUUAAACUAGUGAAAGACAUGGCCUACGAAAAUUUCUGAAAAUUAUGUAAAAUGUGAAAAAAAAACAUCACGAGGUGAAAACUCAAACUUCAGAGGUGAAUUUGGAGGUUCUAAAGUUUUCAAACUCGCCAAUGGAGGGGACAGAGAGAUCCGAAAUUUUUUUUCGAUCGAUUUUGAUAUAUUGAACGUUGAAAUCAGAGCUCGUAUGCGAAAGUUAUGGCUAUUUUACAAACGGACUCCAAAUUAGAGGACAAAAUGGUCCGAAAGUGGAAAAAAUUUGCGGCGGUGGCUAGAAAUUGAUGGAAACGGUGGGGGAAAAUACAUGAACUGGACUCUAAUAAGACCUAACCAGCAAUAAGACCUCGACGAGGACACAAACUCAACACUGCGGACUCUGAAACUGAAAUAUGCAAAGGCUAUGACGUGGAAGGGUUGUAGGACAAGAAAACGAUAUGACACUGCACUUAUGGGACGAACACAAGAACACUCAAAACUAAGGGUAGAUGUGAACCUAAUGGUAUACCUAAAGCUUUGAUUCCCACAUGAUGAGAACAACGGUGACCCGAUCUUCUAAAAGGUUCUGGUAACUCUCGAUUUGGUGGAGACGAGACACGAAUCGAUCCGGCUUCCGAACAACACGAUCCGAAACCCUGCAAUUUUUUUUAUUUUUUUGAUAUUUUUCUUUUAGUUAGAGCACCAAAGGAGUAACCACAGAAAAUUUGAGCUUAAACCAGUGAAAGACAUGGCCUACGAAAAUUUCUGAAAAUUGUGAAAAAUGUGAAAAAAACAUCACGAGGUGAAAACUCAAACUUCAGUUGUGAAUUUGGAGGUGCUAAAAUUUUCAAACCAGCCAAGGGAGGGGAGACAGAUCCGAAAUUUUUUUCUGAUCGAUUUUGAAAUAUGGAACAUUGAAAUCGGAGCUCGUAUGCGAAAGUUAUGGCUAUUUUACGAACGGACUCCAAAUUCGAGGACAAAACGGUGCGAAAGUGGGCAAAAUUUACGGUGGUGGCUAGAAAUUGAUGGAAACGGUGGGGGAAAAUAUAUGAACUGGACUCUAACAAGACCUAACCAGCAACAAGACCUCGACGAGGACACAAACUCAACACUGCGGACUCUAAAACUGAAAUAUGCAAAGGCUAUGGCGUGGAAGGGUUGUAGGACAGAAAAACGAUAUGACACUGGACUUAUGGGACGAACACAAGAACACUCGAAACUAAGGGUAGAUUUGAACCUAAUGGUAUAUCUAAAUCUUUGAUUUCCACAUGAUGAGAACAAGGGUGACCCAAUCUUCUGAAAGGUUCUGGUAACUCUCGAUUUGGUGGAGACGAGACACAAAUCGAUCCGGGUUCCGAACAACACGAUCCGAAACCCUACAAUUUUUUUUAUUUUUUUGAUAUUUUUCUUUUAGUUAGAGCACCAAUGGAGUAACCACAGAAAAUUUGAGCUUAAACCAGUGAAAAACAUGGCCUACGAAAAUUUCUGAAAAUUGUGAAAAAUGUGAAAAAAACAUCACGAGGUGAAAACUCAAACUUCGGAGGUGAAUUUGGAGGUUCUAACUUUUCAAACCUACCAAUGGAGUGACAAACAGAUCCAAAAUUUUUUUCUGAUCGAUUUUGAUAUAUGGAACGUUGUAAAUGGAGCUCGUAUGUGAAAGUUAUGGCUAUUUUACGAACGGACUCCAAGUUAGAGGACAAAACGGUCCGAAAGUGGGAAAAAUUUGCGGUGGUGGCUAGAAAUUGAUGGAAACGGUGGGGGAAAAUACAUGAACUGGACUCUAACAAGACCUAACCAGCAACAAGACCUCGACAAGGACACAAACUCAACACUGCGGACUCUGAAACUGAAAUAUGCAAAGGCUAUGGCGCGGAAGGGUUGUAGGACAGGAAAACCAUAUGACACUGGACUUAUGGGACGAACACAAGAACACUCGAAACUAAGGGUAGAUUUGAACCUAACGGUAUACCUAAAGCUUUGAUUACCACAUGAUGAGAACAAGGGUGACCCGAUCUUCUGAAAGGUUCUCGUAACUCUCGAUUUGGUGGAGACGAGACACAAUUUAAUCCGGCUUUCGAACAACACGAUCCAAAACCCUGCAAAUUUUUUUAUUUUUUUGAUAUUUUUCUUAUAGUUAGGAGCACCAAAGGAGUAACCACACAAUAUUUGAGCUUAAACCAGUGAAAUUUUCUCAAAGUUGUGAAAAUGUGAAAAAAAACUUCAUGAGGUGAAAACUCAAAUUUCGGAGGUGAAUUUGGAGGUUCCAAAAUUUUCAAACCUGCCAAUGGAGUGGACAGACAGAUCCGAAAUUUUUUUCUGAUCAAUUUUGAUAUAUGGAACGUUGAAAUCGGAGCUCGUAUGCGAAAGUUAUGGCUAUUUUACAAACGGACUCCAAAUUAGAGGACAAAAUGGUCGAAAAGUGGGAAAAAUUUGCGACGGUGGCUAGAUAUUGAUGGAAACGGUGCUGGAAAACACACGAACUGGACUCUAACAAGACCUAACAAGCAACAAGACCUCGACGAGGACACAAACUCAACACUGCGGACUCUGAAACUGAAAUAUGCAAAGGCUAUGACACGGAAGGGUUGUAGGACAAGAAAACGAUAUGACACUGCACUUAUUGGACGAACACAAGAACACUUGAAACUAAGGGCAGAUGUGAACCUAAUGGUAUACCUAAAGCUUUUAUUUCCACAUGAUGAGAACAAGGGUGACCCGAUCUUCUGAAAGGUUCUGGUAACUCUCGAUUUGGUGGAGACAAGACAUAAAUCGAUCCGGCUUCCGAACAACACGAUCCGAAAACCGGUAAUUUUUUUAUUUUUUGAUAUUUUCUUUUAGUUAGAGCACCAGAGGAGUAACCACAGAAAAUUUGAGCUUAAACUAGUGAAAGACAUGGCCUACGAAAAUUUCUGAAAAUUGUGAAAAAUGUGAAAAAAACAUCACGAGGUGAAAACUCAAACUUCAGAGGUGAAUUUGGAGGUUCUAAAAUUUUCAAACUCGCCAAUGGAGGGGACAGACAGAUCUCAAAAUUUUUUCUGAUCAAUUUUGAUAUAUGGAACGUUGAAAUCGGAGUUCGUAUGCGAAAGUUAUGGCUAUUUUACGAACGGACUCCAAAUUAGAGGGCAAAAUGGUCCGAAAGUAGGAAAAAUUCGCGGCGGUGGCUAGAAAUUGAUGGAAACGGUGGGGAAAAACACACAAACUGGACUCUAACAAGACCUAACCAGCAACAAGACCUCGACCAGGACACAAACUCAACACUGUGUACUGUGAAACUGAAAUAUGCAAAGGCUAUGGCGCGGAAGGGUUGUAGGACAAGAAAACGAUAUGACACUGGACUUAUGGGACAGACACAAGAACACUGAAAAGUAAGGGUAGAUGUGAACCUAAUGGUAUACCUAAAGCUUUGAUUACUAUAUGAUGAGAAUAAGGGUGACCCGAUCUUCUAAAAGGUUCUGGUAACUCUCGAUUUGGUUAAGAUGAGACACAAAUCGAUACGGCUUCCGAAUAACAUGAUCCGAAACGCUGCAAAAUUUUUUUUAUUUUUUUGAUAUUUUACUUUUAGUUAGGAGCACCAAAGGAGUAACCAUAGAAAAUUUGAGCAUAAACAAAUCAAACACAUGGCCUGCGGAAUUUUCUGAAGACUGUGAAAAAUGUGAAAAAAACUUCAUGAGGUAAAAACUCAAACUUCGGAGGUGAAUUUGGAGGUUCUAAAAUUUUUAAACUCGCCAAUGGACGGGACAGACAGAUCCAAGAAUUUUUUCUAAUCGAUUUUGAUAUAUGGAACGUUGAAAUCAGAGUUUGUAUGCGAAAGUUAUGUCUAUUUUACGAACAGACUCCAAAUUAGAGGACAAAACGGUCCGAAAGUGGGAAAAAUUUGCGGUGGUGGCUAGAAAUUGAUGGAAACGGUGGGGAAAAAUACAUGAACUGAACUCUAACAAGACCUACCCUACAAUAACACCUCGACGAGGACACAAACUCAACACUGCGGACUCUGAAACUGAAAUAUGCAAAGGCUAUGACGCGGAAGGGUUGUAGGACAAGAAAACGAUAUGACACUGGACUUAUGGGACGAACACAAGAACACUCGAAACUAAUGGUAGAUGUGAACCUAAUGGUAUACCUAAAGCUUUGAUUAUCACUUGAUGGGAACAAGGGUGGCCCGAUCUUCCAAAAUGUUCUGGUAACUCUCGAUUUGGUGGAGACGAGACACAAAUCGAUCCGGCUUUCGAAUAACAUGAUCCAAAACCCUGCGUUUUUUAUUUUUUUGAUAUUUUUCUUUUAGUCAGGAGCACCAAAGGAGUAACCAUAGAAAAUGAGCUUAAACAAGUAAAAGACAUGGCCUGCGGACUUUUCUGAAGAUUGUGAAAAAUGUGAAAAAACAUCACGAGGUGAAAACUCAAACUUCAGAAGUGAAUUUGGAGGUACUAAAAUUUUCAAACCCGCCAAUGGAGGGGACAGACAGAUCCAAAAAAUUUUUCUGAUCGAUUUUGAUGUAUGGAAUGUUGAAAUCGGAGUUUGUAUGCGAAAGUUAUGGCUAUUUUACAAACGGACUCCGAAUUAGAGGACAAAACGGCGGUGCCUAGAAAUUGAUGGAAACGGUGGGGAAAAAGACAUGAACUGGACUCUAACAAGACUUAACCAGCAAGAAGACCUCGACCAGGACACAAACUCAACACUGCGGACUCUAAAACUGAAUUAUGCAAAGGCUAUGGCGCGGAAGGGUUGUAGGACAAGAAAAUGAUAUAGCACUGGACUUAUAGGGACAAACACGAGAACACUCGAAACUAAGGGUAGAUGUGAACCUAAUGGUAUACCUAAAGCUUUGAUUUCCACAUGAUGAGAACAAGGGUGACCCGAUCUUCUGAAAGGUUCUGGUAACUCUCGAUUUGGUGGAGACGAGACACAAAUCGAUCCGGCUUCCGAACAACACGAUCCGAAACCCUGCAAUUGUUUUAUUUUUUUUGAUAUUUUUCUUUUAGUUAGAGCACCAAAGGAGUAACCACAGAAAAUUUGAGCUUAAACCAGUGAAAGACAAGGUCUACGAAAAUUUCUGAAAAUUGUGAAAAAUGUGAAAAAAACAUCAUGAGGUGAAAACUCAAACUUCAGAGGUGAAUUUGGAGGUCCUAAAAUUUUCAAACCAGCCAAUGGAGGGGACAGACAGAUCUGAAAUUUUUUUCUGAUCGAUUUUGAUAUAUGGAACAUUGAAAUCGGAGCUCGUAUUCGAAUGAUAUGGCUAUUUUACGAACGGACUCCAAAUUAGAUGACAAAACGGUCCGAAAGUGGGAAAAAUUUGCGGUGGUGGCUAGAAAUUGAUGAAAACGGUGGGGGAAAAUACAUGAACUGGACUCUAACAAGACCUAACCAGCAACAAGACCUCGACGAGGACACAAACUCAAAACUGCGGACACUAAAACUGAAAUAUGCAAAGGCUAUGACGCGGAAGGGUUGUAGGACAAGAAAACGAUAUGACACUGGACUUAUGGGACAAACCAAGAACACUCAAAACUAAGGGUAGAUGUGAACCUAACGGUAUACCGAAAGUUUUGAUUUCCACAUAUGAGAACAAGGGUGACCCGAUCUUCUGAAGUUCUGGUAACUCUCGAUUUGGUGGAGACGAGACACAAAUCGAUCCGGCUUCCGAACAACACGAUCCGAAAACCUGUAAUUUUUUUUUGAUAUUUUUCUUUUAGUUAGAGCACCAAAGGAGUGACCACAGAAAAUUUGAGCUUAAACUAGUGAAAGACAUGGCCUACGAAAAUUUCUAAAAAUUGUGAAGAAUGUGAAAAAAAAACAUCACGAGGUGAAAACUCAAACUUCAGAGGUGAAUUUGGAGGUUCUAAGCUUUUCAAACUUGCCAAUGGAGGGGACAGGGAGAUCUGAAAUUUUUUUCUGAUCGAUUUCGAUAUAUGGAACAUUGAAAUCAGAGCUCGUAUGUGACAGUUAUGGCUAUUUUACGAACGGACUCCAAAUUAGAGGACAAAAUUGUUCGAAAGUGGGAAAAAUUUGCGGCGGUGGCUAGAAAUUAAUGGAAACGGUGGGGGAAAAUACAUGAACUGGACUCUAACAAGACCUAACCAGCAAUAAGACCUCGACGAGGACACAAACUCAACACUGCGGACUCUGAAACUGAAAUAUGCACAGGCCAUGACGUGGAAGGGUUGUAGGACAAGAAAACGAUAUGACACUACACUUAUGGGACGAACACAAGAACACUCGAAACUAAGGGUAGAUGUGAACCUAAUGGUAUCCCUAAAGCUUUGAUUUCCACAUGAUGAGAACAAGGGUGACCCGAUCUUCUGAAAGGUUCUGGUAACUCUCGAUUUGGUGGAGACGAGACACAAAUCGAUCCGGCUUCCGAACAACACGAUCCGAAAACCUGUAAUUUUUUUUGAUAUUUUUCUUUUAGUUAGAGCACCAAAGGAGUGACCACAGAAAAUUUGAGCUUAAACUAGUGAAAGACAUGGCCUACGAAAAUUUCUGAAAAUUGUGAAGAAUGUGAAAAAAAAACAUCACGAGGUGAAAACUGAAACUUCAGAAGUGAAUUUGGAGGUUCUAAGGUUUUCAAACUUGCCAAUGGAGGGGACAGGGAGAUCUGAAAUUUUUUUCUGAUCGAUUUCGAUAUAUGGAACAUUGAAAUCAGAGCUCGUAUGUGACAGUUAUGGCUAUUUUACGAACGGACUCCAAAUUAGAGGACAAAAUUGUCCGAAAGUGGGAAAAAUUUGCGGCGGUGGCUAGAAAUUGAUGGAAACGGUGGGGGAAAAUACAUGAACUGUUCUCUAACAAGACCUAACCAGCAAUAAGACCUCGACGAGGACACGAACUCAACACUGCGGACUCUGAAACUGAAAUAUGCAAAGGCUAUGACACGGAAGCGUUGUAGGACAAGAAAACGAUAUGACACUGCACUUAUGGGACGAACACAAGAACACUCAAAACUAAGGGUAGAUGUGAACAUAAUGGUAUACCUAAAGCUUUGAUUUCCACAAGAUAAGAACAAGGGUGACCGGAUCUUCUGAAAGGUUCUGGUAACUCUCGAUUUGGUGGAGACGAGACACAAAUCCAUCCGGCUUCCGAACAACAUGAUCCGAAACCGUGCAAUUUUUUUUAUUUUUUUGAUAUUUUUCUUUUAGUUAGAGCACCAAACGAGUAACCAUAGAAAAUUUGAGCUUAAACCAGUGAAAGACAUGGCCUACGAAAAUUUCUGAAAAUUGUGAAAAAUGUGAAAAAAACAUCACGAGGUGAAAACUCAAACUUCAGAGGUGAAUUUGGAUGUUCUAAAAUUUCCAAUCCCGCCAAUGGAGGAAACAGACAGAUCCGAAAUUUUUUUCUGAUCGAUUUUGAUAUAUGGAACGUUGAAAUCGGAGCUCGUAUGCGAAAGUUAUGACUAUUUUCCGAACGGACUCCAAAUUAGAGGACAAAACGGUCCGAAAGUGGGAAAAAUUUGCGGCGGUGGCUUGAAAUUUAUGGAAACGGUGGGGGAAAAUACAUGAAUUGGACUCUAACAAGACCUAACCAGCAACAAGACAUCGACAAGGACACAAACUCAACACUGCAGACUCUGAAACUUAAAUAUGCAAAGGCUAUGGCGCGGAAGGGUUGUAGGACAAGAAAACGAUAUGACACUGGACUUAUGGGACGAACACAAGAACACUCGAAACUAAGUGUAGAUUUAAACCUAAUGGUAUACCUAAAGCUUUGAUUACCACAUGAUGAGAACAAGGGUGACCCGAUCUUCUAAAAGGUUCUGGUAACUCAAGAUUUGGUGCAGACGAGACACAAAUUGAUCCGGCUUCCGAACAACAUGAUCCGAAAUCCUGCAAUUUCUUUUAGUUAGGAGCACCCAAGGAGUAACCAUAGAAAUUUUGAGCUUAAACCAGUGAAAGACAUGGCCUACGAAAAUUUCUGAAAAUUGUGAAAAAUGUGAAAAAAACUUCACGAGGUGAAAACUCAAACUUCGGACGUGAAUUUGGAGUUUUCUAAAAUUUUCAAACCCGCCAAUAGAAGGGACACACAGAUCCAAAAUUUUUUUUAAUCGAUUUUGAUAUAUGAAACGUUGAAAUUGAAGUUUUUAUGCAAAAGUUAUGGCUAUUUUAUUAAAGGACUCCGAAUUAGAGGACAAAACGAUCCGAAAGUGGAAAAAAUUUACGGCAGGUGCUAGAAAUUGAUGGAUACGGUGGGGAAAAACACACAAACUGGACUCUAACAAGACCUAACCAGCAACAAAACCUCGACGAGGACACAAACUCAACACUGCGGACUCUGAAACUGAAAUAUGCAAAGGCUAUGGCGCAGAAGGGUUGUAGGACAGGAAAACGAUAUGGCACUGGACUUAUGGGACGAAUACAAGAACACUCGAAACUAAGGGUAGAUGUGAACCUAAUGGUAUACCUAAAUCUUUGAUUACCACUUGAUGAGAACAAGGCUGGCCUGAUCCUCCGAAAGGUUCUGGUAACUCUGGUGGAGACGAGACACAAAUCGAUCCGGCUUUCGAACAACAUGAUCCAAAACCCUACAAUUUUUUUAUUUUUUUGAUAUUUUUCAUUUAGUUAGGAGCACCGAAGGAGUAACCAUAAAAAAUUUGUGCUUAAACAAGUGAAAGACAUGGCCUGCGGACUUUUCUGAAGAUUGUGAAAAAUGUGAAAAGAACAUCGCGAGGUGAAAACUCAAAUUUCAGAGGUGAAUUUGGAGGUACUAAAAUUUUCAAACCUACCAAUGGAGGGGACGGACAGAUCCAAUUUUUUUUUCUGAUCGAUUUUGAUGUAUGGAACGUUGAAAUUGGAGUUCGUAUGCGAAAGUUAUGGCUAUUUUACGAACGCACUCUGAAUUAGAGGAUAAAACGGCGGUGGCUAGAAAUUGAUGGAAACGGUGGGGAAAAAGACAUGAACUGGACUCUAACAAGACCUAACCAACAACAAGACCUCAACCAGGACACAAACUCAACACUGUGGUCUCUAAAACUGAAAUAUGCAAAGGAUAUGGCGCGAAAGGGUUGUAGGACAAGAAAAUGAUAUCGCACUGGACUUAUAGGGACAAACACAAGAACACUCGAAACUAAGGGUAGAUGUGAACCUAACGGUAUACCUAAAGCUUUGAUUACGACUUGAUGAGAACAAGGGUGGCCCGAUCUUCCGAAAGGUUCUAGUAACUCUUGAUUUGGUGGAGACGAGACACAAAUCGAUCCGGCUUCCAAACAACACGAUGCGAAACCCUGCAAUUUUUUUUAUUUUUUUGAUAUUUGUCUUUUAGUUAGAGCACCAAAGGAGUAACCACAGAAAAUUUGAGCUUAAACAAGUAAAAGACAUGGCCUGCUGAAUUUUCUGAAGAUUGUGAAAAAUGUAAAAAUAACUUCAUGAGGUAAAAACUCAAACUUCGGAGGUGAAUUUGGAGGUUCUAAAUUUUUCAAACCUUCCAAUGGAGGGGACAGACAUAUCCAAAAAUUUUUUCUGAUCAAUUCUGAUAUAUGAAACGUUAAAAUCGGAGUUCGUAUGCGAAAGUUAUGGCUAUUUUACGAACGGACUCCGAAUUAGAGGACAAAACGAUCCGAAAGUGGGAACAAUUUGCGGCGGUGGCUAGAAAUUGAUGGAAACAGUGGGCAAAAACAAAUGAACUGGACUCUAACAAGACCUAACCAACAACAAGACCUCGACCAGGACACAAACUCAACACUGCGGACUCUGAAACUAAAAUAUGCAAAGGCUAUGGCGCGGAAGGGUUGUAGGACAGAAAAACGAUAUGGCACUAGACUUAUGGGACAAACACAAGAACACUCGAAACUAAGGGUAGAUGUGAGCCUAAUGGUAUACCUAAAGCUUUGAUUACCACUUGAUGAGAACAAAGGUGGCCCGAUCUUCUGAAAGGUUGUGGUAACUCUCGAUUUGGUGGAGACGAGACACAAAUCGAUCAGCUUCCGAACAACACGAUCCGAAACCCUGCAAUUGUUUUUCUAUUUUUUUUGAUAUUUUUCUUUUAGUUAGGAGCACAAAAGGAGUAACCACAGAAAAUUUGAGCUUAAACAAGUGAAAGACAUGGCCUGCGGAAUUUUCUGAAGAUUGAGAAAAAUGUGAAAAAAACUUCACGUGGUGAAAACUCAAACUUCGGAGGUGAAUUAUGAGAUUCUAAAGGUUUCAAAUCCACCAAUGGAGGGGACAGACAGAUACAAAAAAUUUUCUGAUCAAUUUUGAUAUAUGGAACGUUGAAAUCGGAGUUCGUAUGCGAAAGUUAUGGCUAUUUUUCAAACGGACUCCGAAUUAGAGGACAAAACGGUCCGAAAGUGGGAAAAAUUUGCGGCGGUGGCUAGAAAUUGAUGGAAAUAGUGGGGAAAAACAUAUGAACUGGACUUGAUAAAGACCUAACGAGCAACAAGACCUCGACCAGGACACAAACUCAACACUGUGGACUCUCAAACUGAAAUAUGCAAAGGCUAUGGCGUGUAAGGGUUGUAGGACAGGAAAAUGAUAUGGCACUGGACUUAUGGGACGAACCCAAGAACACUCGAAACUAAGGGUAGAUAUCAACCUAACGGUACACCUAAAGCUUUGAUUACCACUUGAUGAGAACAAGGGCGGCCCGAUCUUCCGAAAGGUUCUGGUAACUCUCGAUUUGGUGGAGACGAGACACAAAUCGAUCCGGCUUCCGAACAACACGAUCUGAAAGCCUACAAUUUUUUUUAUUUUUUUGAUAUUUUUCUUUGAGUUCGGAGCACCAAAGGAGCAACCACAGAAAAUUUGAGCUUAAACAUGUGAAAGACAUGGCCUGUGGAAUUUUCUGAAGAUUGUGGAAAAUGUGAAAAAACUUCGCGAGGUGAAAACUCAGACUUCGGAGGUGAAUUUGGAGGUUUUAAAGUUUUCAAACCCCCCAAUGGAGGGGACACACAGAUCCAAAAAAUUUUUCUAAUCGAUUUUGAUAUAUGGAACAUUGAAAUCGGAGUUCGUAUGCGAAAGUUAUGGUUAUUUUACGAACGGACUCCGAAUUAGAGGACAAAACGGUCCGAAAGUGAGAAUAAUUUGCGGUGGUGGCUAGAAAUUGAUGGAAACAGUGGGGAAAAACAUAUGAACUAGACUUUAACAAGACCUAACCAGCAACAAGACCUCGACCAGGAGACAAACUCAACACUUCGGACUCUGAAACUGUAAUAUGCGAAGGCUAUAGCGUGGAAGGGUUGUAGGACAGAAAAAUGAUAUGGCACUGGACUUAUGGGACGAAUACAAGAACACUCGAAACUAAAGGUAGUUAUAAACCUAAAGGUAUACCUAAAGCUUUGAUUACCACUUGAUUUGAACAAGGGUGGCCCGAUCUUCCGAAAGGUUCCGGUAACUAUCGAUUUUGAGGAGACGAGACACAAAUCGAUCCGGCUUCCGAACAACACGAUCCGAAACUCAGCAAAUUCUUUUUAUUUUUUUGUUAUUUUUCUUUCAGUUAGGAGCACCAAAGGAGUAACCACAAAAAAUUUAAGCUUAAACAAGUGAAAUACAUGGCCUGUGGAAUUUUCUGAAGUUUCUGAAAAAUGAGAAAAAAAACUACACGAUGUGAAAACUCAAAUUUUGGAGGUGAAUUUGGAGGUUCUAAAAUUUUCAAACCCGCCAAUGGAGGGGAUAGAUAGAUCCAAAAAAUUUUUUUGAUCGAUUUUGAUAUAUGGAACACUGAAUUCGGAGUUCGUAUGCGAAAGUUAUGGCUAUUUUACGAUCGGACUCUGAAUUAUAGGACAAAACGGUCCGAAAGUAGAAAAAAUUUGCGGCGGUGGCUAGAAAUUGAUGGAAACGGUAGAGAAAAACACACGAACUGGACUCUAUCAAGACGUAACCAGCAAAAAGACCUCGACCAUGACACAAACUCAACACUGCGGACUCUGAAACUGAAAUAUGCAAAGGCUAUGACAUAGAAGGGUUGUAGGACAGGAAAAUAAUAUGGCACUGGACUUAUGGGACGAACACAAGAACACUCAAAACUAAGGGUAGAUAUGAACCUAACGGUACACCUAAAGCUUUGAUUACUGUUGACGGUCCUUAAUGCUCACAUUUAACCAUCAACUAAUCAUAGAAAAGGAUCCAAAUGCAACCAACACCUAGACUUAAGGUUUUAUCUGACAGAAAUUCCACGAGUUUUGGUGUUUGUCUGUUUCUGCAGGGGGUUAUCAGGAAAUACGAAAGGAAGGCCCACACGUCGGGUUUACAUAGAGAUAUUAACGUGCCGCGCAAUUUUCUAUCAUCUAGAAGACUCCAGAAGCCACGGGACCGAACGGGAGACGUAACGGAGCCGGGCACUGGGCGCCCCCCCUCCCUUACUGGGCGCCCGCCCUCUCCCCUGGACCAAUCAGGGUGAAGUUCGGGGAUCGUGCUCCACCGACCUAAUACUUCAAGGAAAACCACACGAUCAAUGUCGGUUUGAUCCGACGGCCCAGAUUCACUUGAAGGGACUAUAAAACCAGACCCCCCUGGCCCCUGGAGAUCAUACCUCUUCUACAGAAUCAAAGCUAGGGUUUCAAUUCUUCAUCCAAGUAGAGAGGAUCCCUCUAGUUCUUCUAGUUCUACCUCUAGUUCAUCUAGAUCUAGUUCUAGUUCAUCUAGUUCUAGUUCUAGUUCCUCUAGUUCUAGUUCUAGUUAGUUCUAGUUGUAAUCUAGAAAAUAGGGAGAGAGAAGAGGAGAGCGGAGGAGGAGCCGGAUCUGUCGGAUCUUCCUCAACAUUGUACUUUUGCAGCAUCUGGUUCGUUCUUCAUCGUUCUCCAGGUUCUUAAAUUCAUAAUUCCUGAGUUCUUUAAUUACUUUUAUUUACAUUCAAGUUAUUUAUUGGAUUCCCGCUUGCAUCAAGUGCUCUAGUCUUUAUAACGCUAGAGUAGUAAUUAAUAGAUUAGACGUGGUGUUUAGUCUUGCGAUUACCUGGAAUUGCACCCAAUCCCACGGAUUGUUGUGGUAGCCUUAGGGUAGUGACAGCCCUAACGGUCGAUGUAUUCCACCUCGUUCGGAUCGGUGUUUGUAGGACCGUAGUCGGAGCUUCCUAGCCCCCUUCUCAUCUCUUUCUCUGGUUAGUGUUCUGAUGUCCCGAAAUAGAUAAUCUUGAAGUAAUUCUUGAUUCUUAGAUCAACUAGAGAACUCUCAGGAAACUUCCUCUCUUCCCAACAAAAAAUAAUUAUAUAGUUAUCCUUGGGCGAUCUUGAUUCUUAAUUAGUACACUCACGUUCCCUGUGGAAAAUCGAUACUCUGGAAUACUCCCGGGUGAAGGCUACAUCGGUAUCCGUGCGCUUGCGGAUUUUUCUGUUUGCGUUUAAAAUACCCAACAAGCUUUCUGGCGCCGUUGCCGGGGAACGGUAGGUGUGCUAGUUUCGAACCAAGUCGUCCGUGUAUCCUUUUUCUUUUCCUUUUUUAUCACACUCACCUUACUAUUUUCACCAUACCACAUGGAUUUCACUCUAAGCAUUAAUGAGCAUGGAAUUUAUUUCAUAGCCACUUCAUUUACUCCAUGCUCAUAUGCAACAUCUUCACAAUCCAUUGGUCUCUCCAACAUCACCACAUUCGAGAUCUCCAACCCCCUCUUACUUUCUAUUCAUAAAAACUUUAAAAGGGCGGUUGUCGAUGCAUAUGUCUAUAUUAAAUAUUGCAGAUCUCGUUGAGUUGAUCUUGAUAUAGGUCAGCGUUGGAGGGGAAACCACUCACCGACAUAAAUUGAUGGUUUCCCAAGGACAAGCUUAGCGUCCUAAAAUAAGCACUGAUCAGAUCGUAACAUAAGCUUUUAAUUAUUUGCAACACUACCUUGUGUAUUGAGCAUAUAAGGAUAAUUGUAAAAAUAUCCCUUCGGGUAUUCUUGUCACUAACCUUUGCAGGAUUGGAGCAAGAAGAUCGGAUGAAUGACAAGCACAAGGUAUGUCCAACCAAUCAUCAUACAACAUUGAAUUAAAUUCAUCCAAACUUGAAUUUUGCAAAAUUCUAGCUUGGGGGAGUACUUUACAUAAAAACAUCCUUUGCCAUGUUGCUAUGUUGGUUGUCCCUACCUUUGAGACAUGCUCAAUUGGUUAAAUACUAAUCACACUACUUCAUCUCCACUUGAGUAGAUCUCUAUAAAUGCUCUCAUGAUACCUUUAUUUGCUUUAGUAUAUGUCUAGGUUUGGAGUAGUUUCAUAUAUCUCUUAAUUAAGCAUGGUGCUUAGCUAGGAAUGAUGAUCUUACUUCCAAGGGAUUUUAAAUUAAGCAUGGUGCUUAGGUUAAAAUGCCCUCCUGAAUCAAAUUAGACAUGGUGUCUAGGUUGAUUUUUGAGCUGAUAGUAUGCUAUAGUAGAUAUGGGAUAUUUUGUUGGAUUAACCCCUGCAGGAAAACUUUCAAUAUCGACCUGGGAAGUCCUGAGAUAAACUCACAUUGGAGACAAAGAGAGAGACACAUAAAGUUUAACAAUUUACACAAGGAAGGCAUAGCUCACAAGAGAUGAUUCAUGGAGGGUGCCACAAACACGAUGCACAACCGCUAAGAAAGGAAAGCUUCCACAAGGUGAUACUGUACCAUCACUCUUCAAGUAAGGUAACAUCUUAAGGUACUUGACUAUCACUUCUAUAAGCUUUUCCUUGGUUCUGGCAUUCACAUGAAUAAAAGAGACAAACAUGUAUGAUUUACAACUUUAGAUUAAUCAACCCAAUCGAUUCAACAUGUUUAGUCUUUCUACCUUCGUGAUCCCACACUCCUAAUCAUAUAAGCUAAAACGUUGCACAUUCAAUCUUUGGAAGAUAUAAACAAAACAUAAGUAUACAUAGAUUAUCUUUCCAUUAGGUUGAGCGAUGUGAUCUGACAAAUGUUUUAAAUAUUACACUCAUGAUAUUAUUAUCCAUCAACUUGGUCUUGCUCAUUAUGCUUAAGGAUAGAGAAGAAUAAAUACACUUUUGGUUCUGUUGGUGUUUUCCACCAACAGGGCCCAUGCACUUGAUCUCUGCCUUGUCUCUAUGAGCAGGUACACUUUAAGCAAAACAUGGAAGAGUUUUACAACUCCCAGACUCCACCAAGUGAAGAACCUAGAUCUACGAGCACAAACACACUGGAGAGACUGGACACUCAGGCAAUCACUGCCCUAAGAUGCUUGAGGACGUAACUACUGGAGUAACCCAUGGAAGUAAUUACUGACCUUCUGCAGGUCAAGAGAGACAAUCCAGGACGCCCCGUCAUCCCGAUCUCCAUCAGCUUGCAGAUCAGACACUAAGUUUCCCAAAGGGAAUAUUGAAGAACCUCUGCGUCCGAGUUGGUACCUUGUACGCCCCAGCAGACUUCGUGGUGAUAGAGACUGGUACUGAUGAGAGGGCACCCAUCCUAGGGAGGCCAUUCCUGAACACCUCAGGAGCUGUCAUCUACGCUAGUGCUGCCAAGAUCAAUUUCUACAUCAAGGGGAGGAAGGAGACGUUUUCCUUCAAGAACAAGACUACACAAAUCUCAGAGCAAUCCCGACAUGAACCAAGGAAGAGGAUCAACAGGGGGAGCAGGAACAAGCAAAUGUGGACUGAGUCAGCUAAGAUGGUCACUGCAGCUCAACGAGGUCAAGAUCGUCGACUUAAGUCACCGUUCCUGACCAAAAAGGAUGCCGCAAUCACUUAACAGCUCCUCUAUGGAACCAUGUCCCUACAACCGACAUACAUUCAGCUCCAGAUGGCAGAUCAGACAUUCCGUAAGGUUAUUGUCAUGGGAGAAGACGAGUACAAUCCACCCGUCAUCCUUAGAAGACCGUUCCUCAGCACCGUUAAAGCAAUCAUCUACAUUGGAACCGGAGAAGUCCACAUGAACUUCCCCUCUGAGAAGGUACGUCGCUGUUUUACUGACCCUAACUAUAUAGUUGAAGAUUCUAAGCAGGUCAGGACAAGAAGAAGACGACGCAACCAUAACCAGAGGAGGAAAAUCAUAAAGGACGGAUGGGCAGAGUACGAAGGAGAAGUGCACCAAGGCAGGUGUGGAGAAAGAAGAUAGUUAUACAUGAAGAGUAUGCGCCGCCGGAACCACCGACUACGCCAUCCAGCGAAUCCCAGGACGAUUGAGAAAACGGAGAGUCCCGUUCGGAGGACUUAAAAACACCGAACGCCAUGCCAAGAGGUAAACUUGGUAGUUAUCUUUUUCCUUUCAAUUAUUUUAAAAAUAGUUUGCUUAGUUAAUGAGGUUUAUAUCAUCUUAAAAAGAAAAUAAAAAUGUUAAAAAUAGUAAGCCCCAUGUGAGUAUGCUCAUGGCAUAAAACCCAUAAGUACAUUCACUGUGGUGGCAUAAAAAUGAAAUAAAUAUAUUCCUGUCCUAUAAAAAUGAAAAUAUAAAAAUAGAUUUAUGAUCCCACUAAAAAGUGUAAUAUUUAUUGAGGAGACUCAACAUGAUAAAGGCUAGAUAUUUAUGCUAACACUUAACUAGUUCCACAAGCUUUGUUGUCUAUUUGAGCUCCACAGAAUUCAAGGAUCAAAGAAGACGGAGGACAUCCUAGUCGCCGUCAGGGUGCUGCUGACAUUAAAAUAUACCUUUGCCACCUGCUAGCUACAUUAGAAGAAAUUACAUCAAUAUCCAGCUUGGGGGAGAGCACCCCCAUUUAUCCAGCUAAGUGUUCUACUCACGUUUAUAUUUUACUCAAAUAAUAAAAAGAUGCAUGAUCAUAAAAACCCAAAUAAAGUUUUUGUGCUUAUAUAUAUCCUUGCUUAGUUUGCUAAAUAAAUAAAUAAAUAAAGUUUGCUAUGAACCCUCAUGAUAAGCUCUCACAUGGAAAUGAUGAAUAGUUGCUCUGCUAUGACUAGUUCUCAAAAUUGAAAUCUCUCUCAAGUUUAGGCCUAACUGUUAUUAAUUAAGAUUUGCUCUAAACCUGAACUUGUGGGAAGAGUACUUGAUCUGAAGUCUAAGUCGUUAACGGAUAUGAUAUAGGAAGGUUGAGCUGCUGUUUAUCUGUUCUUAGAGAUGCUAGAAUUCUGGAGAAUUUUAUCUUUGAAAAUCUUUAAAAUGUUGCAUGAUGAGUUCCUGUAUGAUGAGAGUUUAAAUUCCUACCACAGCCAGAUAUACAUGCUUGCUAGACUUUGAGCCACACAUUUACUUUUUACUACUUAUGAGCAUUGAGUGUGGUCAAGCUGUGUAGACCCUUAGGAGCUUGUCAUGUGGUUAAAUCAAGAUUCACUUGCACGUUCACUCACACAUGCUACUUCUACUCCGGAAGUACCAUCAAUAUAUAUCCAUUUCCAUCUCCAGAACCACCUAAAAAUAUUCUACUCCUAAUCCAGGAGAGAAUAGCCAAAAAUAUUUCUAUUUUUCCCUGUGAAAUAAAUGCUCAAGUUAUCUUGUUACUACCACUUGCUAUAUUAUCUCAUGAGAUGAGUGCUCUAAUAAAAAAGAAGAAAAAAAAUACGAGGAAAUAAAAAGGGGCAAGUGCCCGGAACCUCGAAAGAAAAAAAAAGUGUGACGAGAGGUAAAAAAUGGACAAGUGUCCGACAGUAGAAUUAGGGGUACAAGAUACCCACCCGAGAGAAAAGAAAAAGAAAAUAUAGAGCAUCUCAUUCUCCUCAAAAAGUUUCAAAAGAGCAAGAAAGGUAUGUAUCCUCUCAAAAGAGCAUAAGUAGAAUUAGACUUUCACCAUUGUUAUCACCAUCAUCACCAUACACCAUUCAUUCGCCACACAUGCACAUCUUGAUUUGACUUAUUGACUUGUUCUUCUGGAUCCAUGGUUUGACUAUGCAAUAUAUGUCUUGUAAGUAUGUAUUAGCUGUCUCCCACCUAUGAGCUCCAGAUAUCAAAACCUUAUUAGAGUAGGGUGAGAGAGAAGGCAAUGUCACUAUGCUUCAUACCAAAAAUACCACAUAUUUUGAGAGAAGGCAUAUACCAUUACUGCCUUGGUAAGGAUCCAGAAAUACCACAAAAGAGAGACUAGAGAGAGUCAUACAAGGAAUCUCUGAGUUUUAUUUGAAAAUCUGCAAAAACUCCAGAGCUAUAGUUAAUCGAAGAACAAGAGACAUGGCGCUUGACUAGACCGUUCUAUCUUUUAACUGCUUAAGACACAAGUGACGGUUGCAAGCCCCAUGGUGGAAGGUAAAAUGAGUAAGUUUAAAUCUUAAUAGUUACCCUAACCCAGAGAUGAGAUCUUUUUUAAAUGCAUGUGCAUUUUUAAGGCAUGAAACCACUGCAGAAACUUUUGAGUCUAUCUUUGCUCAGGGACGAGCAAAGGUUAAGCUUGGGGGAGCUUGUUGACGGUCCUUAAUGCUCACAUUUAACCAUCAACUAAUCAUAGAAAAGGAUCCAAAUGCAACCAACACCUAGACUUAGGGUUUUAUCUGACAGAAUUCCACGAGUUUUGGUGUUUGUCUGUUUCUGCAGGGGGUUAUCAGGAAAUACGAAAGAAAGGCCCACACGUUGGGUUUACAUAGAGAUAUUAACGUGCUGCGCAAUUUUCUAUCAUCUAGAAGACUCCAGAAGCCACGGGACCGAACGGGAGACGUAACGGAGCCGGGCACUGGGCGCCCGCCCUCCCUUACUGGGCGCCCGCCCACCUCUUUCCACCAAUCAGGGUGAAGUUCGGGGAUCGUGCUCCACCGACCUAAUACUUCAAGGAAAACCACACGAUCAAUGUCGGUUUGAUCCGACGGCCCAGAUUCACUUGAAGGGACUAUAAAACCAGACCCCCCUGGCCCCUGGAGAUCAUACCUCUUCUACAGAAUCAAAGCUAGGGUUUCAAUUCUUCAUCCAAGUAGAGAGGAUCCCUCUAGUUCUUCUAGUUCUACCUCUAGUUCAUCUAGAUCUAGUUCUAGUUCAUCUAGUUCUAGUUCUAGUUCCUCUAGUUCUAGUUCUAGUUAGUUCUAGUUGUAAUCUAGAAAAUAGGGAGAGAGAAGAGGAGAGCGGAGGAGGAGCCGGAUCUGUCGGAUCUUCCUCAACAUUGUACUUUUGCAGCAUCUGGUUCGUUCUUCAUCGUUCUCCAGGUUCUUCAAUUCAUAAUUCCUGAGUUCUUUAAUUACUUUUAUUUACAUUCAAGUUAUUUAUUGGAUUCCCGCUUGCAUCAAGUGCUCUAGUCUUUAUAACGCUAGAGUAGUAAUUAAUAGAUUAGACGUGGUGUUUAGUCUUGCGAUUACCUGGAAUUGCACCCAAUCCCACGGAUUGUUGUGGUAGCCUUAGGGUAGUGACAGCCCUAACGGUCGAUGUAUUCCACCUCGUUCGGAUCGGUGUUUGUAGGACCGUAGUCGGAGCUUCCUAGCCCCCUUCUCAUCUCUUUCUGUGGUUAGUGUUCUGAUGUCCCGAAAUAGAUAAUCUUGAAGUAAUUCUUGAUUCUUAGAUCAACUAGAGAACUCUCAGGAAACUUCCUCUCUUCCCACCAAAAAAUAAUUAUAUAGUUAUCCUUGGGCGAUCUUGAUUCUUAAUUAGUACACUCACGUUCCCUGUGGAAAAUCGAUACUCUGGAAUACUCCCGGGUGAAGGCUACAUCGGUAUCCGUGCGCUUGCGGAUUUUUCUGUUUGCGUUUAAAAUACCCAACAAUUACCACUUGAUGAGAACACGGGUGGCCCGAUCUUCCGAAAGGUUCUGGUAACUCUCGAUUUGGUGGAGACGAGACACAAAUUGAUCCGGCUUCCGAACAACACGAUACGAAACCCUACAAUUUUCUUUAUUUUUUUCAUAUUUUUCUUUUAGUUAGGAGCACCAAAGGAGUAACCACAAAAAAAUUGAGCUUAAACAAGUGAAAGACAUGGCCCGCGAAAUUUUCUGAAGAUUGUGAAAAAUGUGAAAAAAACUUCACGAGGUGAAAACUCAAACUUUAGAGGAUCUAAAGUCAAUCAAACCUGCCAUUGAAGGGCACAGACAGAUCCAAAAAAUUUUUCUGAUCGAUUUUUUUAUAUGGAACGUUGAAAUCGGAGUUCGUAUGCGGAAGUUAUGGCUAUUUUAUGAACGGACUCCGGAUUAGAGGACAAAACGGUCCGAAAAUGAGAAAAAUUGCGGCGGUGGCUAAAAAUUGAUGGAAAUAGUGGAGAAAAACAUAUGAACUGGACCCUAACAAGACCUAACCAGCAACAAGACCUCGACCAGGACACAAACUCAACACUACGGACUCUGAAACUAAAAUAUGCAAAUUCUAUGGCGUGGAAGGGUUGUAGGACAGGAAAAUGAUAUGGCACUGGACUUAUGGGACGAACACAAGAACACUCAAAACUAAAGAUAGUUAUGAACCUAAUGGUAUACCUAAAGCUUUGAUUACCACUUGAUUUGAACAAGGGUGGUCUGAUCUUCCGAAAGGUUCUGGUAACUAUCGAUUUGGAGGAGAAGAGACACAAAUUGAUCCGCUUUCGAACAACACGAUCCGAAACUCAGCAAAUUCUUUUUAUUAUUUUUUGAUAUUUUUCUUUCAGUUAGGAGCACUAAAGAAGUAACCACAGAAAAUUUAAGCUUAAACAAGUGAAAGACAUGGCCUGUGGAAUUUUCUGAAGUUUGUGAAAAAUGUGAAAAAAACUUCAUGAUGUGAAAACUUAAACUUCAGAGGUGAAUUUGGAGGUUCUAAAAUUUUCAAACCCGCCAAUGGAGGGGACAAAUAGAUCCAAAAAAUUUUUUUGAUCGAUUUUGAUAUAUGGAACAUUGAAAUCGGAGUCCGUAUGCGAAAGUUAUGGCUAUUUUACGAUCGGACUCCGAAUUAGAGGACAAAACGGUCCGAAAGUGGGAAAAAUUUGCGGCGGUGGCCAGAAAUUGAUGGAAACGAUGGGGAAAAACACACGAACUGGACUCUAACAAGACCUAACCAGCAACAAGACCUCGGCCAGGACACAAACUCAACACUGCGAACUCUGAAACUAAAAUAUGCAAAGGCUAUUGCGUGGAAGGGUUGUAGGACACGAAAACGAUAUGGCACUCGACUUAUGGGACGAAACACUCGAAACUAAGGGUAGAUGUGAACCUAACAGUAUACCUAAAGCUUUGAUUACCACUUGAUGAGUCAAGGGUGGCCCGAUCUUCCGAAAGGUUCUGGUAUCUCUCGAUUUGGUGCAGACGAGACACAAAUCGAUCCGGCUUCCGAACAACACGAUCUGAAAGCCUACAAUUCUUUUUAUUUUUUUGAUAUAUUUCUUUGAGUUAGGAGCACCAAAGGAGUAACCACAGAAAAUUUGAGCUUAAACAAGAGAAAGACAUGGCCUGCGGAAUUUUCUAAAGAUUGUAAAAAAUGUGAAAAAAACUUCACGAGGUGAAAACUCAAACUUUGGAGGUGAAUUUUGAGGUUCUACAAUUUUCAAACCCACCAAUGGAGGGGACAGACAGAUCCAAAGAAAUGUUUCAGAUAGAUUUUGAUAUAUGGAAUGUUGAAAUCGGAGUUCGUAUGCGAAAGUUAUGGCUAUUUUACGGACUACGAAUUAGAGGACAAAACAGUCCGAAAGUGGGAAAAAUUUGCGGCGGUGGCUAGAAAUUGAUGGAAACGGUGGGGAAAAGCACACGAACUGGACUCUAACAAGACCUAACCAGCAACGAGACCUCGACCAGAACACAAACUCAACACUGCGGACUCUGAAACUGAAAUAUGCAAAGGCUAUGGCGCGGAAGGGUUGUAGGACAGGAAAACGAUACGGUACUGGACUUAUUGGACGAACACAAGAACACUCGAAACUAAGGGUAGAUGCCAACCUAAUGGUAUACCUAAAGCUUUGUUUACCACUUGAUGAGAACAAGGGUGGCCCGAUCUUGUGAAAGGUUCUAGUAACUCUCGAUUUGGUGGAGACGAGACACAAAUCAAUCCGGCUUCCAAAUAACACGAUGCGAAACACUUCAAUUUUUUUAUUUUUUUGAUAUUUUUCUUUUAGUUAGGAGCACCAAACGAGUAACCACAUAUAAUUUGACUUUUAAACAAGUGAAAGACAUGGCCUGCGGAUUUUUCUUAAGAUUGUGAAAAAUGUGAAAAAAAACUUCACGGGGUGAAAACUCAAACUUUGGAGGUGAAUUUGGAGGUUCUAAAUUUUCAAACCCACCAAAAGCUAGGACACACAGAUCCGAAAUUUUUGUCUGAUUGAUUUCGAUAUAUGGAACAUUGAAAUUGGAGUUCGUAUGUGAAAGUUAUGGCGAUUUUACGAACGGACUCCGAAUUAGAGGACAAAACGGUAAAUGGGAAAAAUUUGCGGUGGUGGCUAGAAAUUGAUGGAAACGGUAGGGAAAAACACACGAACUGGACUCUAACAAGACCUAACCAGCAACAAGACCUCAAUAAGAACACAAACUCGACACUGCGGACUCUGAAACUGAAAUAUGCAAAGGCUAUGGCGCGAAAGGGUUGUAGGAUACGAAAACGAUAUAGCCCUGGAAUUAUGGGACGAACACAAGAACACUCGAAACUAAGGGUGGAUGUGAACCUAACGGUAUACCUAAAGCUUUGAUUACCACUUGAUGAGAACAAGGGUGACCUGACCUUCCAAAAGGUUCUGAUAUCUCUCGAUUUGGUACAGACGAGACACAAAUCGAUCCGGCUUCCGAACAACAUGAUAUGAAACCGUGCAAUUUAUUUUAUUUUUUUGAUAUUUUUCUUUUAGUUAGUAGCACCAAAGGAGUAACCACAGUAAAUUUGAGCUUAAACAAGUGAAAGACAUGGCCUGCGGAAUUUUUUGAAGAUUGUGAAAAAUGUGAAAAAAAACAUUACGAGGUGAAAACUCAAACUUUAGAGGUGAAUUUUGAGGUUCUAAAAUUUUCAAACCCGCCAAUGGAGGGGAUAGAGAGAUCCAAAAAAAUUUUCGAAUCAAUUUUGAUAUAUGGAACGUUGAAAUCGGAGUUCGUAUGCGAAAGUUAUGGCUAUUUUACGAACGGACUACGAAUUAGAGGACAAAACAGUCUGAAAGUGGGAAAAAUCUGCGGUUGUGGCUAGAAAUUGAUGGAAACGGUGGGGAAAAACACACGAACUGGACUUUAACAAGGCCUAACCAGCAACAAGACCUCAACAAGAACACAAACUCAACACUGCAGACUCUGAAACUGAAAUAUGCAAAGGCUAUGGCGUGAAAGGGUUGUAGGACACGAAAAUGAUAUAGCACUGGACUUAUGGUACGAACACAAGAACACUCGAAACUAAGGGUAGAUGUAAACCUAAUGGUAUACCUAAAGCUUUGAUUAGUAACUCUCGAUUUGAUGGAGACGACACACAAAUCGAUCCGGCUUCCGAACAACACGAUCCGAAACAUGCAAUUUUUUUUAUUUUUUUGAUAUUUUUCUUUUACUUAGGAGCACCAAAGGAGUAGCCACAGGAAAAUUGAGCUUAAACAAGUGAAAGACAUGGCCUGCGGAAUUUUCUGGAAAUUGUGAAAAAUGUGAAAAAAACAUCACGAGCUGAAAACUCAAAUUUCGGAGGUGAAUUUGGAGGUUCUAAAAUUUUCAAACCCACCAAUGAGGGGACAGACAGAUCUUAAUUUUUUUCUAAUCAAUUUUGAUAUAUGGAAUGUUGAAAUCGGAGUUCAUAUGCGAAAGUUAUGGCUAUUUUACGAACGGACUCCGAAUUAGAGCACAAAACGGUCCGAAAGUGGGAAAAAUUUGCGGCGGUGGCUAGAAUUUGAUGGAAACGGUGGAGAAAAAUACAUGAACUGGACUCUAACAAGACCUAACCACCAACAAGACUUCGACCAGGACACAAACUCAACACUGCGGACUCUGAAACUGAAAUAUGCAAAGGCUAUGGCGUGGAAGGGUUGUAGGACACGAAAACGAUAUGGCACUGGACUUAUGGGACGAACACAAGAACACUCGAAACUAAGGGUAGAUGUGAACCUAACGGUAUACCUAAUGCUUUUAUUACCACUUGAUGAGAAAAAGGGUGACCUGAUCUUCCAAAAGGUUCUGGUAUCUCUCGAUUUGGUGCAGACGAGACACAAAUCGAUCCGGCUUCCGAACAACAUGAUACGAAACAAUGCAAAUUUUUUCUAUUUUUUUUUGAUAUUUUUAUUUUAGUUAGGAGCACCGAAGGAGUAACCACAGAGAAUUUGAGCUGAAACAAGUUUAAGACAUGGCCUGCGGAAUUUUUUGAAGAUUGUGAAAAAUGUGAAAAAAAACUUCACGAGGUGAAAACUCAAAAUUUGGAGGUGAAUUUUGAGGUUCAAAAAUUUUCAAACCCGCCAAUGGAGGGGACAGACAGAUCCAAAAAAAAAUUUUGGAUCAAUUUUGAUAUAUGGAACGUUGAAAUCAGAGUUCGUAUGCGAAAGUUAUGGCUAUUUUACGAACGGACUACGAAUUAGAGGACAAAACAGUCCGAAAGUGGGAAAAAUUUGCGGUGCUGGCUAGAAAUUGAUGGAAAUGGUAGGGAAAAACACACGAACUGGACUCUAAUAAGACCUAACCAGCAACAAGACGUCAACAAGAACACAAACUCAACACUGCGGACUCUGAAACUGAAAUAUGCAAAGGCUAUGGCGCGAAAGGGUUGUAGAACACGAAAACGAAAAAGCACUGGACUUAUGGUACGAACACAAGAACACUCGAAACUAAGGGUAGAUGUGAACCUAACGGUAUACUAAUGCUUUUAUUACCACUUGAUGAGAAUAAGUGUGACCUGAUCUUCAAAAAGGUUUUGGUAUCUCUUGAUUUGGUGCAGACGAGACACAAAUCGAUCCGGCUUCCGAACAACAUGAUACGAAACCUUGCAAAUUUUUUUUAUUUUUUUUAAUAUUUUGCUUUUAGUUAGGAGCACCGUAGGAGUAACUACAGAAAAUUUGACCUUAAACAAGUGAAAGACAAGGCCUACGGAAUUUUUUGAAGAUUGUGAAAAAUGUGAAAAAAAACUUCACGAGGUGAAAACUCAAACUUUGGAGAUGAAUUUUGAGGUUCUAAAAUUUUUAAACCCGCCAAUGGAGGGGACAGACAGAUCCAAAAAGAAUUUUGGAUCAAUUUUCAUAUAUGGAACGUUGAAAUCGGAGUUCGUAUGUGAAAGUUAUGGCUAUUUUACGAACGGACUACAAAUUAGACGACAAAACAGUCCGAAAGUGGGAAAAAUUUGCGGCAGUGGCUAGAAAUUGAUGGAAACAGUGGGGAAAAACACACGAACUAGACUCUAACAAAGACCUCGACCAGGACACAAACUCAACACUGCGGACUCUGAAACUGAAAUAUGCAAAGGCUAUGGCGCGGAAGGGUUGUAGGACAAGAAAAUGAUAUGGUACUGGACUUAUGGGACGAACACAAGAACACUCCAAACUAAGGGUAGAUGUGAACCUAAUGUUAUACCUAAAGCUCUGGUUACCACUUGAUGAAAACAAGGGUGGCCCGAUCUUCUGAAAGGUUCUAGUAACUCUCGAUUUGGUGGAGACGAGACACAAAUCGAUCCGGCUUCCGAACAACAUGAUCCGAAACCCUACAAUUUUUUUUUAUAUUUUGAUGUUUUUCUUUUAGUUAGGAGCACCAAAGAAGUAACCACAUAAAAUUUGAGCUUAAACAAGUGAAAGAAAUGGCCUGUGGAAUUUUCUGAAGAUUGUGAAAAAUGUGAAAAAACUUCACGAGGUGAAAACUCAAACUUUGGAGGUGAAUUUGCAGGUUCUAAAAUUUUCAAACCAACCAAAAGCUAGGACACACAGAUCUGAAAUUUUUUUCUGAUCGAUUUUGAUAUAUGGAACGUUGAAAUCGGAGUUCGUAUGUGAAAGUUAUGGCUAUUUUACGAACGGACUACGAAUUAGAGGACAAAACAGUCCGAAAGUGGGAAAAAUUUGCGGCGGUGGCUAGAAAUUGAUGGAAACGGUGGGGAAAAGCACACGAACUGGACUCUAAUAAGACCUAACCAGCAACAAGACCUCAACAAGAACACAAACUCAAAACUGCGGACUCUGAAACUGAAAUAUGCAAAGGCUAUGGCGCGAAAGGGUUAGGACACGAAAACGAAAUAGCACUGGACUUAUGGUACGAACAUAAUAACACUCAAAACUAAGGGUAGAUGUGAACCUAACGGUAUACCUAAUGCUUUUAUUACCACUUGAUGAGAACAAGGGUGACCUGAUCUUCCAAAAGGUUCUGCUAUCUAUCGAUUUGGUGCAGACGAGACACAAAUCGAUUCGGCUUCCGCACAACAUGAUACGAAACCCUGCAAUUUUUUUUAUUUUUUUUGAUAUUUUUAUUUUAGUUAGGAGCACCGUAGGAGUAACCACAGAGAAUUUGAGCUUAAACAAGUUUAAGACAUGGCCUGCGGAUUUUUUUGAAGAUUGUGAAAAAUGUGAAAAAAAACUUCACGAGGUGAAAACUCAAACUUUGGAGGUGAAUUUUGAGGUUCAAAAAUUUUCAAACCCGCCAAUGGAGGGGACAGACAGAUCCAAAAAAAAUUUUUGGAUCGAUUUGAUAUAUGGAACGUUGAAAUCAAAGUUCGUAUGCGAAAGUUAUGGCUAUUUUACGAACGGACUACGAAUUAGAGGACAAAACAGUCUGAAAGUGGGAAAAAUUUGCGGUGGUGGCUAAAAAUUGAUGGAAACGGUAGGGAAAAUACACACGAACUGGACUCUAAUAAGACCUAACCAGCAACAAUACCUCAACAAGAACACAAACUCAACACUGCGGACUCUGAAACUAAAAUAUGCAAAGGCUAUGGCGCGAAAGGGUUGUAGGACACGAAAACGAAAAAGCACUGGACUUAUGGUACGAACACAAGAACACUCGAAACUAAGGGUUGAUGUGAACCUAACGAUAUACCUAAUGCUUUUAUUACCACUUGAUGAGAACAAGGGUGACCUGAUCUUCAAAAAGGUUCUGGUAUCUCUCUAUUUGGUGCAGACGAGACACAAAUCGAUCCGGCUUCCGAACAACAUGAUACGAAACCUUGCAAUUUUUUUAUUUUUUUAAUAUUUUGCUUUUAGUUAGGAGCACCGUAGGAGUAACCACAGAAAAUUUGAGCUUAAACAAGUGAAAGACAUGGCCUACGGAAUUUUUUGAAGAUUGUGAAAAAUGUGAAAAGAACAUCACGAGGUGAAAACUCAAACUUUGGAGAUGAAUUUUCAGGUUCUAAAAUUUUCAAACCCGCCAAUGGAGGGGACAGACAGAUCCAAAAAGAAUUUUGGAUCAAUUUUCAUACAUGGAACGUUGAAAUCGGAGUUCAUAUGUGAAAGUUAUGGCUAUUUUACGAACGGACUACGAAUUAGAGGACAAAACAGUCUGAAAGUGGGAAAAAUUUGCGGCGGUGGCUAGAAAUUGAUGGAAACGGUGGCGAAAAACACACGAACUGGACUCUAACAAAGACCUCGACUAGGACACAAACUCAACACUGCGGACUCUGAAACUGAAAUAUGCAAAGGCUGUGGCGCGGAAGGGUUGUAGGACAAGAAAAUGAUAUGGUACUGGACUUAUGGGACGAACAUAAGAACACUCCAAACUAAGGGUAGAUGUGAACCUAAUGUUAUACCUAAAGCUCUGAUUACCACUUGAUGAGAACAAGGGUGGCCCGAUCUUCUGAAAGGUGCUAGUAACUCUCGAUUUGGUGGAGACGAGACACAAAUCGAUCCGGCUUCCGAACAACAUGAUCCGAAACCCUACAUUUUUUUUAUUUUUUUGAUGUUUUUCUUUUAGUUAGGAGCACCAACGAAGUAAUCACAUAAAAUUUGAGCUUAAACAAGUGAAAGACAUGGCCUGUGGAAUUAUCUGAAGAUUGUGAAAAAUGUGAAAAAACUUCACGAGGCGAAAACUCAAACUUUGGAGGUGAAUUUGCAGGUUCUAAAAUUUUCAAACCCACCAAAAGCUAGGACACACAGAUCCAAAAAAUUUUUC